rnacentral:lncRNA from 1 species
ACCCAACGCUCCAAAAGUAAAGUUUCCACUAUGAUAAUAUUUGUACAAUUAUAAGAAUGUAAAAUAUAAACAUAAAACUCGAACUCUUCUUUUUGAGUGCCAUUCUCGAUAAAUAUUUCUGAGAACCUAUAUAAAUGCUCGCGGUAAAGAUGUUAGUAACAGAUCAAGAUAAAUAGAAUUUUCAUUAAAAGCGGGCUCAGAUAAAGUUGUAAAAAAAGUUAUAAAGAUUUCAUCAUUGCUCAAAUUAUUUAUUUUAUUAUGUAUUUAUAUAUGUAACACCCGUCUUUUUAAUUUGUGAAGGCCUUAAAAAUUGAUGGUGAAUUUUUUCAUCGGCCAAUACAAUGUUGUAUUUAUUCGUUAUCAGUAUAGUAAAUUGAAGUACAAAAUCGUCCAAUAUCAGUCACUAGAGAUGCAAAACAGCAGCAAACCCAACUGUAAAUAAAUGGGAAGGACAAAAUCAUCCAAAAACCAAUCCCUAGAGAUGCAAAACAACAACAAAUCUAAGGAUAAAAAUGGUCAAUAACAGUGAUAAUAAAAAUGGCAAACACAGACAACCAUACUCAUCCGAUUAAUUUAAGAUCCAUCCAAACGGAUUUAGAAUAUAGCCAACAAUAACAUGGUCGUCUUUCAUCCCAUAAUAAAAUAGUCACAUAAAUCAUGCAUGGGGCAUUACCAGAACAAGAAUGAAUGAUGUUCAUCGGAGAAAUGUUAGAUACACAAAAUUUGGCCAGAUCUGUAAACAUUAAAAUAAAACAUUAGAGAAAAGUGAAAGGAGAAAGAGAGAGAGGGUAUUAUGGUGUUGCUGUGGUGGCACUGGCAGUGUUCACCGGUGGAGCCGUUUGGUCAGAGAAGAUACGAGACGGGGAACGGCGGCUGGAGGAAGCGUAGGCUGGACGAUCUUGCCGGCUGGUGCUGGUUGGGCGAUGGGAAAGGGAAGAAGGGAAGGUGAAAGGAGGCUUUUUCGUCGACAGCAGCCGUGUUGGGCUUCUUCCAAUCGGAGGACUGGUGGAACUAGUUUUGGUUGACCGGUGGCUUGGUAUGGUUGUUGUUGGGUUUGUCUUUUAAAGAGAGAGAGGUCGUAUGGUGGUGGCGGUGUUUGGCUGGAGGAGCUUUUUUACUGGUGGAGAACAGAGGGAGGGUCGACUAUCACCGCUGUUUCGCCUGUUGGAGAGGAGAGAAGAAGGAGCGGAGUGGGCUGGCGACUUGAGAGACGGUUGCUUGGUGGGUGGCGGCAGCCAUGGAUAUUAAUAGGGAGAGGAAGAGGAAUUUGAGGGUAGACAGAGAAAUGGGAAAAGAAUGUGACUGAAUUGUUUUUUGUGUGUGUUAGUGCAUGUAUUGGGUAAAAAAUUUACCCCUCCUCUAUUUAUAAUUAAAGAAGAAGCCCUUUUUUUACAAUAAAGAAUUAAUCCCUCUUAUUCCCUGAAACAUUAGUUAGACCACGAGAUAUUAUCUAAUAAAUUUUUAUUCUUUUAACUAAUGUGCAAAAAUUUUUAAUCCAAUGGAUAAAUAACUCAAUUCGUCACUUCAAGUGUCACUUUUAAAGAUGACGAGAUCUUGAUUUGACUGAUUUGCUGCUUUGUGUAUUAAAAUAAUUGAGCCGACAUUAUCGUUUGCAGCUCAUCUUAAAUAAUGUACAAAAAUAUAAAAUGUCGAUGUGUAAUGACAGAAAAAUACAAAUAACAAAUAUAAUAUAAUUAUCUUAAAAAAUAUAUUAUACUAUAAACAAUUAAAAUUAUAAUAUGUAAAAAAAAAAUUACAGUGUUAUGUCAUGUACGAAUGCAUAUAACUGUGCAAAAAAUAUUAAAAUAAUAAUAAACUGAUAACAAUUUUAAAAUUUACAAAAUUAGGAAUAAUUAUCAAUUAAUUAUACAAAGUUAAAAUUUAACAAUAAUUUGAUAAAAAAAAUCCUAAAAAAUGAUGAUUAUUGUUAAUUUGCUAAAAAAAUAUAACAAAUGUGUGAAAAAUUACAUUUUAUGCACUUAAAUGAUCAUAAAGCUUGAAAGUGCUAAUUUUAAUCACGAAGAGCCAAAAUUGGGUGUCAACAUAUGUUCACCAUGAAAAGUUCAAAGGAAAACCCACUUAUCCAGAUGCAAUCAGUCUUUGUUUGAUAAUCACAUGCUUGUCUGUAAAUUCUUCAUAAGAUAGCCAUUCCCCAUUUAUCUGGGGGAUUGUUGGGUUUAAGUUGAAUGUGUGAAUGGAAAAUGGAGGGAAGUGAGUCCAAACUAAUCUGACAAGAUGGUGAACUUCCUCAACUAACUUGUUCUUACAAUCCUCGAUGUAAGUAACACUACCCAUGAACAACCUACUGAGGGCGUCUGCCACUACAAUGGCCUUGCUCGAAUAAAAUAAAACACUCAUAUCAUAAUCUUUCAACAACUCUAACCAUCUUCUUUAAUGCAGAUUCAAAUCCUUCUACGAGAAUACAUACUGCAAGCUUUUGUGAUCUGUGAACACAUCAACAUGCAGCCCAUACAAAUAGUGCCUCCAAAUCUUUAAGGCAAACACAACAACUACUAACUCAAGAUCAUGGGUAGGGUAAUUAUUUUCAUGUGGCUUAAGCUAUCUAGAGGCAUAGGCCACAACCUUAUCCUUCUGCAUCAACACACACCCCAAACCAACUCUGAAAGCAUCAUAGUACAUAACAAACCUAUCCGAACCAUUUGGUAACGUCAAAACUAGGGUUGUGGUGAGUCAAGUCUUCAACUCCUGAAAAUUCUUCUCACAAGAAUCUAACCACUGAAACCUAACUUUCUUCUGAGUCAAUCUGGACACGGGGGACGUAAUAGAUGAAAACCCUUCGACAAACCAUCGGUAAUAGCCAGCCAAACCCAAGAAACUCCUGACAUCUGAUGGAGAAAUGAGUCUGGGAUAGUUUCUCACCACUUCGGUCUUUUGAGGAUCAAUUCUAAUGCCAUAACCAGAAAUAAUAUGAACAAGGAAAGCUACUGAACUUAGCCAAAAUUCCCACUUACUAAAUUUAGCGAACAAAUGAUGGGCUCUAAGAGUCUGCAAUAUUAUUCUGAGGUGGUUUACAUGAUCAUUUUUGUUACGGGAGUAAACAAGGAUGUCAUCUAUGAAGACUAUGACGAACAUGUCCAUGUACUGCUUGAUCACUCGAUUCAUCAAGUCCAUGAAGGCUGCUAAAGCAUUUGUGAGACCAAAGUACAUGACUAGAAACUAAGUGACCAUAUCGAGUUCUAAAGCUAUUUUCAAAAUGUCACUUUCUCUGACUCAGAGCUGAUGAUAGCCAAAUCUGAGGUCUAUCUUAGAAAAAUAACUGGUGCCCUAAAGUUGGUCGAAUAAGUCUUUGAUUCUGGGAAUUGGAUAUUUGUUUUUGAUUGUGACUUUGUUUAACUGACGGUAGUUAAUACACAUUCGAAGAGAAUCGUCUUUCUUAUGCAUAAACAAAAUUGGUGCGCCCAAUGGGGAAACGUUGGGCCUCCUAAUGAAUCCCUUAUCUAGGAGAUCUUUCAACUUUUUGAGUUCGGCUGGAGCCAUUCUGUAUGGAGGAAUAGAGAUAGGCUGGGUAUCUAGAAAAAGGUUUAUUUCGAAGUCGAUUUCCCUUUUGGGAGAAACUCCGGAAAGAUCUUCAGGGAAUACAUUUGGAACUUCCCUCACUACUAAAUCUGACUCAAGAUUAGGAGUCUCAGAAUUGGAGUCUUUAACUCGGACAAGAUGGUAAACAAACCCCUUAGAUAUCAUUUUUCUCGCUCUAAGGUAUGAAACAAGUUGACCCUUAAGUGUUGUGGUACUACCCCUCUAUUCAAGGACUGGUUCAUUCAGGAACUGAAAAUAGACAACUCUAUUUCUACAAUUAACUAAAGCAUAGCAUAAUGGAGCCAAUCCAUGCCAAGAAUGAUGUCAAAAUUCGACAUCACUUGCUCUACGAGGUUUGUUGAAGUAACUUUUUGAGACACCAUAACCGGACAGUUUCUUUAUACCCGUCAGACUAUGAUAGACUUACCCACUAGGGUAGAGACUGAGAAAGGAUCAAAUAGGAUUUUAGGGUUGACUCUGAAGUUGAUGGCUAUGUAAAGAGUUACGAAAGACAGAGAAGAUCCAAGACCUAACAAGGCAUAAAUAUGUAAAUAAAAGAUUUGCAAUAUACCAGUAACCAAAUCAGGAGAAAUCUCCUGAUCUUGUUGGGACUGAAGUGCAUAGAGCCUGUUUGGGCGUUGCCCACUGGUGGCACUAGAAGCGGCACCCUGUUGAGACGGGCGACCGAACCGAACUCGAGGAUGAUUAUACUGACUCUGUGAACCUACCUGAGGUCACUCUCUGAUCCUAUGGCCUGGAUUACCGCACCCAAAACACACAUCGCUGCCAGCCCUGUAGACACCCUGAUGGUUUCUGCCACAUUUCUGACAAAGAGGAUUUGUUCGAGUAUUGUUUGCACUACCCUGAGAUUUAAAACUUGACGCCCUAUCCUUAUUAUUAUUCUUGAAUUGGUCAUCGGUAUACUAGUUGAAGACGAAGCUGGGACUAAAGAUUUUGGGUAAAACUGAGGACUGUUUCCACCUUCUGACUUUGGCUGAGCAAAACUGAAACUACCGGUUCUAGCCCUCUUGCUUUCCCUCUCUUUCUCCUUAGUAUUUUGUUCCUUAAUCUGCUGAGCAUGGAACAUCAACCUAGACAAGUCCAUCUCUUUAAUCAACAUUGCGGUCCUACACUUAUUGACCACACAGUCAGAUACCCCAGACACGAACUUGCUCAUCUUAGACCUGCUAUCAGCUACUACAUGAGGAGCAUAACUGGCCAACUGAGUAAACUUGAUGGAAUACUCUUUCACACUCAUGUUGCCCUGCUUCAGGUUGAUAAAAUCUAAUACCUUAGCCUCUCUUUACUCCAAUAAAAAGAACCUAUCUAAGAAAGCAGUAGAAAAUUCUUCCCAUUCGAUAGGCCCUGCAUCCGCACCUCUCUCUACCUUCCACUACUUAAACCAUGAAUGACCUAUAUCUUGCAACUGAUAGGUAGCUAACUCCACACCCUCACUAGAAGUUACCCCCAUAAUAUCUGUUACCUUUUGCACCAUGUCAAGAAAUUCCUGUGGGUCCUCCUCAAACUUAGACCCUGAAAAUGAAGGAGGGUUCAUUCAGGUGAAGUCCCAAAUUCUAGCUACAGCAGUAUUGGCCAUUGGUUAGCUUGAACAGUAGAUGGUCGAACAUUCUGAGAUUCCAUAGAAUAGGCUAGGUGGUGAAUGCUGCUCUGAAUUCUGUGUGAGAAACAUGCUCAUCUAGGGGAUCUUCCUGAAUGGGCAGAGGUGCUGGCUGGUUCCUAGUCCUUUUUUACGUUAGUCUUUCUGGGAGGCAUGUUUUGUAAAUCGAAGGAAAAGUUAGAUUAGACAGAGAUUUUAACUUGAGCUCAUGCUCACUCGCAUGAUACAAACACUGAAAGAAGGGAACUUUUCCUUAAAUGCCUCGUAGCCUCUUGCCCAUAAGUAUGCGCUUCACAUCCAUGCAAAAGACUCUACUUGACACGACUUUCAGAAUCCUUAGGACACUUUAGAACCUUAGGCUCUGAUACCAAGUUUGUAAUGCCCCGAGACUACACCCUGGGCAUCACACGGUGCUUACAACCCCAAAGGACCACAAGCUAACCCAUGACUGGUACCUGCUGUGAGCACUGAAUAAUAAUCAUGAAAUAUGUACAGAAGUAAAACUAAAAAUGACAUAAGGUUCAUAAUACUGAAUCAAUACUGAGUAUAUCUGUAGAAUAACUGCUAACUGAAAAUAUCUAAAAGCCUCUAAACAUCUAAAAUAAAAGAGUUGAUGGGAUAAGCCCCAACUAACUCACAACUGCUUUCUAAAAUGACUUAAAUAAUGCAAUGACUAAAUAAGUAUCACGUCCUCGAUGGAUGAGGACUCACUACUACAACUGCAGCUGAUCGACUGAUCUAGCUAAGUACGAUCAGGAACCCGAGCAUCCGAAUCCAUGAUAUGAGACAUUAUAGUGCAAAGAGAAAGUAUGCAUCAGUACUUUAAAUGUACUGGUAUGCUAUGUGAGGUUAGGCUAAAAUGCUAAGGUUCAUAUGCAUGACUAAUAAUAACAACUGAAUAUAGUGAAGUGACUAGAUGCUAGUACAUGCAAGACUGAGAUUACUGAAGAUAAUGAACAUGCAAUAUCAAGCAUAUAUCGUUUGUCUAAAUUAGGCUGAAACUGAAGUACUGAGUUUCUGAUAACUGAUUACUAAUAACUAGAAGUUAUGAUCGUGUAGAACUGAACUGAGUUCUAUACUGAAUGUUGACUACUAAAUACUGAAUACUGAGUACUGGAACUGAGACUAUAAGAGUUAUCAUCUAACUGACAUAACCCAUUUAUAGACUGAUUUGGGAUCCAAACUGUAACCUCAGUUGGAAGAGUGUUAGCACUGUGCCACGGGUUACAAACACUCAUGUUGCCCUGCUUCAGGUUGAUAAAAUCUAAUACCUUAGCCUCUCUUUACUCCAAUAAAAAGAACCUAUCUAAGAAAGCAGUAGAAAAUUCUUCCCAUUCGAUAGGCCCUGCAUCCGCACCUCUCUCUACCUUCCACUACUUAAACCAUGAAUGACCUAUAUCUUGCAACUGAUAGGUAGCUAACUCCACACCCUCACUAGAAGUUACCCCCAUAAUAUCUGUUACCUUUUGCACCAUGUCAAGAAAUUCCUGUGGGUCCUCCUCAAACUUAGACCCUGAAAAUGAAGGAGGGUUCAUUCAGGUGAAGUCCCAAAUUCUAGCUACAGCAGUAUUGGCCAUUGGUUAGCUUGAACAGUAGAUGGUCGAACAUUCUGAGAUUCCAUAGAAUAGGCUAGGUGGUGAAUGCUGCUCUGAAUUCUGUGUGAGAAACAUGCUCAUCUAGGGGAUCUUCCUGAAUGGGCAGAGGUGCUGGCUGGUUCCUAGUCCUUUUUUACGUUAGUCUUUCUGGGAGGCAUGUUUUGUAAAUCGAAGGAAAAGUUAGAUUAGACAGAGAUUUUAACUUGAGCUCAUGCUCACUCGCAUGAUACAAACACUGAAAGAAGGGAACUUUUCCUUAAAUGCCUCGUAGCCUCUUGCCCAUAAGUAUGCGCUUCACAUCCAUGCAAAAGACUCUACUUGACACGACUUUCAGAAUCCUUAGGACACUUUAGAACCUUAGGCUCUGAUACCAAGUUUGUAAUGCCCCGAGACUACACCCUGGGCAUCACACGGUGCUUACAACCCCAAAGGACCACAAGCUAACCCAUGACUGGUACCUGCUGUGAGCACUGAAUAAUAAUCAUGAAAUAUGUACAGAAGUAAAACUAAAAAUGACAUAAGGUUCAUAAUACUGAAUCAAUACUGAGUAUAUCUGUAGAAUAACUGCUAACUGAAAAUAUCUAAAAGCCUCUAAACAUCUAAAAUAAAAGAGUUGAUGGGAUAAGCCCCAACUAACUCACAACUGCUUUCUAAAAUGACUUAAAUAAUGCAAUGACUAAAUAAGUAUCACGUCCUCGAUGGAUGAGGACUCACUACUACAACUGCAGCUGAUCGACUGAUCUAGCUAAGUACGAUCAGGAACCCGAGCAUCCGAAUCCAUGAUAUGAGACAUUAUAGUGCAAAGAGAAAGUAUGCAUCAGUACUUUAAAUGUACUGGUAUGCUAUGUGAGGUUAGGCUAAAAUGCUAAGGUUCAUAUGCAUGACUAAUAAUAACAACUGAAUAUAGUGAAGUGACUAGAUGCUAGUACAUGCAAGACUGAGAUUACUGAAGAUAAUGAACAUGCAAUAUCAAGCAUAUAUCGUUUGUCUAAAUUAGGCUGAAACUGAAGUACUGAGUUUCUGAUAACUGAUUACUAAUAACUAGAAGUUAUGAUCGUGUAGAACUGAACUGAGUUCUAUACUGAAUGUUGACUACUAAAUACUGAAUACUGAGUACUGGAACUGAGACUAUAAGAGUUAUCAUCUAACUGACAUAACCCAUUUAUAGACUGAUUUGGGAUCCAAACUGUAACCUCAGUUGGAAGAGUGUUAGCACUGUGCCACGGGUUACUAACACUAGCUGGAUCAACCCUAAUCUGGUAGGAAGACUCAUGGGAUGUAUAUGGUUACGUCAACCCUAUUCUGGCAGAAAGACAAUUUACCCUAAAAUGGCUAGGUAGUUCUGUAACUCAGGGACUGCUACUAAGGGUCAAACCCUAAACUGACAGGAAUUCCCCCAUCCCUGGGUUCGCUCGAUGUUGAAUCCUACUCCUAACUGAACCAACACUGAUCACUAGACUGUACUAAUCUUGAUUGAACUCACGCUGAUUCUGUUAACUGUCCAAAAUGCUACUGUACGAGAUACUACGGGAUCAUUCUAUUAUGACUGGAAACUAAGUAAGCAGCUAAUUUCAGGUAUACAAUAUCCUCAGGACUCGAUAGCAUAAAUAAUGGAACCAUAUCAUAAGUUUAAAACCAUUACAAUUAGGAUUUCAUGCACAAUUUGUUCACAUAGACAUUUUGUCAAACACUUAGGGAGCAUGGUUCUUGUACAUGAGAAAGAAUAACAUGGGAAUAUCAUGACUACAUCAUUUAACUCACAAUUUAUGGGUUAUGACCUGGGGAGUACAUAAAUCAACAUACAUGCUAAAUUAUUUACUUGAAAUUCAUAAUCUUCUUAGUUUUUAAACCCCCUACAAUCAACACAUACAUGAACACAAUUCAAUUUAGGAAUGCAAUUCAUAAUUUAAAUUCUCAAAAAGGAUUCUUGAACUCCAAGGGUGGAAGGAACCCAAGGAUGAGCACUAAACAUACAUUGAUUUAUGAAUUUGUGAGAAUUGAUGGUGAAUUCUUGAGAUUUGAUCUUGAAUCUUGGAGGCUAGGAUUUUGUUCUUGAAAGAGGGCUACUUUAUUUUGAGAAAAUUGCAAAAAUAAUGAGCAAUUAGUGCUUUCUGAGACUUAAAUCCCGUGUUUGGACGGAGUGGGGUGAGGAAAAAUGACUUAAAUGCCCUUAGAAAUUAAAAAGCGAAACUGAACUCAAAAUCCCAAUUUUGAUACUCGGUGCGAUGUGGUGCAAUUGUGUCAGGCCACUGGAAAAGGAACCAUCCCGAAUUUACCCAACGGCGCAACGCGGUGAAAUCGCAUUGAGCCACUGGAAAUGGAUAAUUCUGAAAUGGCACCUUGGCUCGAUGUGGUGCCAAUCGUGCCUCACUGGAAAGUGAAAAAUGUGAAAAUGCCCCUUGGAGUGACGCAAUGUUUAUCACGGUGACACACUAAAAAAGUUCAAACGUGAAAUUGGCCAUCACCGCGACGCAACCUUAUCGUGUUGGGCUACUAUUUUUAAUUAAAAGUGUCAUAACUUCUCACCCAAGUAUCAAAUUUAGGCAAAAUUGGUAUUGUUGGAAAGCUAAUUCAAUUUCCUACAAUUUUUUGGGUAUUGAAAUGGAAAAUUCUAAGUAUAUCAAAAGAUAUGCUCAUUUGAAGUUGACUAAAGCAACAUUCUUAUCAAAAACUCAAUCGGUAAAGAAUAUUUUGAUCCGUCUAAUAGCUGGAAGUUAUUUGAGGCCUUAAUAUACAUCAAACUUACUCAUAACACUACCAAAAAACUAUAAUGUACUGUCUACGGGCUUGAAGCAUGAAACUAACAUUAGUUUAGUUUUUUGGGGUAUUACAACUAAAUUCUCCCACAUUGGUGGGAGAAAGAAACUCUCAUAUGUUUAUAUGAGAAACACAUCUCUACUUGGAUAGAGCGACAAGAACAAAAAGGUGCCUCAUGCCAUCAUCGUCGUCUCUCGCUCGGCUCGGCUUCGGAUUUGGAUUUGUCAAUUGAUAAAUAAGAUGAAUUUUUUAGAUAAAUUUUAUUUGAUACUUGAAAAACAAGUGAAAUUUAAUCCAAAGAAUCCAAUAGAAUGUUUUUCUCUAUAUGCGGGCGUAUUUCGUACGCCAUGCAAAUGCAUGCACAAUGCACCUCGAAGGGAUGCGACCCUUUGAGGUAAGAGGCACAUUAUUUCGCGUAGAAAAGUGAUCUGCACGCGCACCUGGCAACCUGUGGACGCAGGUGUAGCGCAGAAGCUACUAGAAUCUGCACAAUGUCACCUGCAAUUGCAGGUCAGGCGCAAUACCAGCACAUACUGGGCACAGGUGACGUGACUAUACAAAAAAUAUUCCUUUUUCCUGAACCAAUGCUUCCUUUUGGAAGGGACACCUUAUGGCUAUAAAUACUUGAUGUAUUCCUCAGGUAUACAAAUGAUUUUUUUCCAGCUAAAAACACUUCUUGUCUUCUAAAACUCUGUGUGAUCAUCUCCCGUCGAGUGAGUUCAAAGAAUCCGAUAGUUUUAGUUACCACUACUAUCGGAUUGUAAGCCAUCUUAUCCUGGGAGGAAAAUUCCACAACCUCAGGUACUUGAGGGGAAUUAUUUCCUUAAGGACACUCUGUGAAUUUGGGGGACUUGGCUUUAAUUUCUAUUUCAUCUUAUUUCUUAAUAGAAACACACUUCUAGUGAAAGAUCAAUUUUGAUCUUGUGUUGAAGGUGUUGAAACUUCUAGUUGUUCUUGAAUAGUUAUUCUUGAACUUGUGUUAAAGUUUAGUGUAUAAACUUACAGAUUUUCUGCACCUAAAACAACAGUACCUUGUUUAGUUUGAAAGGCAACUGAACCCUUCUACUGCUACACCAUUUCCCAUCCUAACUUUAGCUUUGAGUGACUUGUCAAGUGUAUAAAACAUAAGCUCAUUAUAUGACAUAUGACUCACACCCACUAUCUAGGAACCAUUUGGAUUGGUUGGUUAUGUUUUCUUCAUGAGUAGCCAUAAAUAAGCUUUCUUCCUUUUCUGACUCUUCAGUAAAAUUUGCUUGCUGAACAUGGUGUUGUUGUGGUUGAUUCUGCUUGGCCCUGUAAUUCUUCUCAAUAUGACCCAUUUUUCUAUAAAAUCUGCAUUGAAUUAAUGGCUUUCUUUUGAAUCAACAAUAUUUUACAGUUGACGCAAAGUAGAAACUUUCCUUUUGUGAAGAUUCUAUCUAUGACUUUCUCUUUGCUGCUUUAUCUCCUUUUAUCCUUCUAUUGUCCUUCACAGGUUGCUUGCCUUUGUGCUUUUCUUGAAAUGCCAUUUCUUCUACUUCUUCAUCUCUUAUACUUGUUCUUUGCUCUUGGGCUUGCAACUUGCUAAUCGGCUUUGAGACGGAUAAAGUCUUCAAAUCACAAGAUUCUGCUAUUGCUGAAAUCUUGGACUCGAACCUUGCUUGUAAGCUUAUCAUCAUCUUCUCCACCACUUUUGAAUCUAGAAAAGUCUCACCAAAUAAUCUUAUCUUGUUUACAAUUUUCAGAAGUUUGGCAGAGUACUCUUUCAUAGUAUCUCCUCUUUUCAUCCUUAACAUCUCAAAUUUUAUUUUGAGAGUUAAGAGUUUGACAGUCUUCACUCUGUCACUUCCAUCUAACUUUUCUUUUAGCUUCUCCUAUGCUUCUUUAGGUGUUUCACAAUCCAUUAUUCUUGUGAAAAUCACAUCUAAAAGUGCUGAAUGAAGACAAGUUAGAGCCUUUGGUUUCUUGGACUUCGCAUCUUCGUAAUUCUUCAUUUGUGUAACAGUUGGAUGUGGUCCAAGUGGAGGGGGGUCAUUUUCACUUUCAACUGCUUCCUAUAGACUUAGAGCUUUGAGAUAAGCCUUCAUCUUGAUCAUCCAUAUGUGAUAAUUUUCUCCUGUAAACAUAGGAGGGCCUGUACCCAAGAAGCUGUUGGAUGUCAUGUUACUGUCGUUCAACUCUCUUGGCUUAGAAGAACUGAAAGAAAAGAACUUAUCUUUAAGCCUUCACAGAUCCCUCAAGAAGAAUGACUCUUGAUACCACUGUUAGAAUUUGGAACUAAGGAGAAGGAAAAGAUAAGGGUAGCAGUUGCUUUCUUCAUUCAUACAUCAUACCAACAUCUUACAAAAGACUCCAAUUAUAGCUACAUAAGUCUUACAAGACACACUUCACAUAGUAUCUUACAAGACACACUUCACAAAAUAAGGAUUACCAUUUAUUUUUAAAAAAACUAAACAUAAUAUUAAAAGAAACUAUUAAACAAAAGACUAUCUAGAAAAACUCAUAUUCUAACACUUCAAGAUCAUAAAGGCCUACCAUUAAAUCAAUGACAUGGCUAUUGAAAUCGUGACAUCAACAUGUAGGUUCCAAAUCCAAGUGGUAGUAUCAUACCUCGAGAGUGACUUCAUUUCACACUAUCAAUACUGGAUUACCUGUUAGCUGCCUCGCCAGUUCAGAAUUCGAACACAAAAUGGCCAAAGAAUCAAUGAGUAAUAAUAUAACUUCUACUGGCAAAAGAACUUAUCUUUUCCUCUUGGUAAAGAAUCUCCACUUCGAGUUCGACAAAGUGAAACAAUCGAUUGGAUCAUUCAAAUCAAAUAGCAUUUAUCUACGGUUAAGUCACAUACUUAGGCGUAAAUGUUUGGCUCUUAUGUUGUUUAACUCUAUGGGUCAUCCUUUGUACGCUUAAGCUAGCAUUUUUGAAUGCUUCAAUGUAUUCAAAAAAACCUUGGAACAAUUUACUUGCAUCCAAAUAGAUAGAUAAUUAGGCUAGCUAGUGAUGUGUUUUGAACUCUUUUUGUGAAAAAUAUUUAUGGUAUAGUAUUUGGUGACCGAAUCAAAAGUGCUGCUAAUAUGUUGAACCGAUGAGAAAACCGAAGUCGGUAAAAACCAUCAGAUGCAACUCUGAUGAAGCAAAAGAAAUUGACAGAUGAAGAGAACAGGGUUACCAUAUACUUAGUCAAAAAUUUUCUUUAACUAUGCAAAAUUAAAUGUUAGAUUCAAUGAAGAAAAUAGAGAAUCCAGAAGCACACACAAGCACACAGAGCACAAGGUAUUCACCGGUAAAAUAUGUUGUUCACAGAAGCCAUACUAUGAAGAGGCGGACUUAGGCAGGAGGCUAGAGAAGAUGAAAGAGAAAACAGCAGUAGAAGAUGAGAAUGAACAACGAUCACAAUAGCUGUAAAAAGAUUGACAGAACAAUAAUACAUUCUUCUCUGUUUACAAUCUUCUUCUAAACUUCAUCUUGUUAGGUCGAUAUCUUGAGAUUAAAAAAAUGAAAAAAGUAAUAAUAUGGGAACAAGCGUCCAUGGCCUGCUUCGCAUAAUUGAAACAAUUGACACGAGCUUUUGAAAUAAUAUAUGUCAAUGAACUUUCUUGGUAAAAAAUCGUAGUAUUUGGAGGGGAUUUUCAUCAAGUACUACAAGAUGUCCCAACUCUUACAAGAACAGAAAUGUUUAAUGCAAUUUUGUCAAAAACACAUUCUUGACCUUUAAUAGAAACAAGUUUAAAGAGAAAAAAAGUAAGAGGGCAAAGCAAAAUCAAAUUGCAGCAACCUUUUCCAACAAAUAAUUGUCAAAAACAACUAACAUCUAUUAGAAGUACUUCUUUCUUUUAUUGGGUAAAAGAACAUAAUAUUACAGAAUACAAGAGUCACUAUGGACUGUACAAGCAAUAAAUGACAUAAAGAACAAAUUAAAAUUUUGGCAGUCACUGCAAAACCACAAACCAACAAUUGACAACUUAAAGUUUGAUAGAGUCAACAACCAUGCCAAUAAUGUGAGGUUUUAACACUUUCUCAGGAUGAGUGUAUCCAUCUUCGUUGUGUUUAUAUGUAACAUCCACAAGCCGAGCAAGAUUGAGAAUACGAGAUAAAAACUCCAUAGCGAUAGGAGUGGGCCUAAGCAUUCCUUCAUUAAUAUCCUUCCAUCCUGACUCUCCCAUUUCUUGAAAUUUAGCCAUUGCAUCUUUUGUUGAUACACUAUAGUCUCUCAUGUAGCACUCAAUUCCUGUUGAAAGUUGUCCCCUAUUUUUCUCAACCUGGAAAGGCAGUUAGAUUAGGGGUUAGCUUUAAUAUUGCUUCAAUUGUGGACAGAACAUUCUAUUUGUUCAAAUAUCAUAUGAUGUUAAAACUUUAUGAGAUACAACUCAUAGUAAAUACCUCGUAUGUGGCUAUGUCAUCAAUAACUCGGCAUAUUGCCACACAACCUUCAAGAAUUUUAGGAUUUUUUGACAGCCACUCAAAUUCUUGCUCUUUUGCAUCCGUCAUGCCCAAAUACGAUGUUGUGGCAAGGAAGUAGUAAGUGGUAGUUACAAAUGCAUUGCGUAGGUAUUCAGAAGCAGGUGGCAUAUGCCCUUCAAUAAACCAUUUUGCCUCAAUAUUAUAACUUUUUAUCAGUUCUUUCAUCUGUGAACACCAAGCAUAUGAAUUCAAAGUGUUAAAAGAAUUUUAACUUGAGUGCUUCUGUUUAUAUUCACAAAAAGAAGUUAGGAAAAAGGAAAGUCAGAAAUGUAUUAUGGAAAAAAGUAAAUUGAUAGUUAGGUCGAUGAGACUCACUCUUUCUUUUGCAUAACAGACAACAUGAGAUCUUCCAUCACUAGACAUUUCCUUUUCAUAAUCCUCAUAAAGAUCUAGAAUAGCUUUAUAACUGAUUUUCAUGUAAUCAGGGAGAUGAUCAAUUUCGUUAAUAUCCCAUCUGUUAGGUGACAAAAUUAAGGUGAAUUUAAGCAAUUUAAAAUAGCAUAAAUAUAAUGAACAAAGCUUGGUUUGGUCUUUUCAUGAUAUUCACUUUCAAGGUACAUCUGAUUAAGUGAAUCGUUGAAGUCCAUACCUUUGUAUGACAUCCGUGUAUGUGGCAAGUUCUUCAGUAGUACCAUAAGCAUCGUAGGUGUCAUCCACAAUCGAAAUCAUUGCUAUGGUCUUAACGAGCAUGACACGAGCUUGAGAAUAUUGAGGCUCAUAAUAUACUCCUAAUGCCCAAAAGUAGCAUUCAACUACUCUAUCUCUAGCAUAUGGAAGUGUGUUCACAAAAUUCAAAUCUUUCCACCACCUGCAGCAUAACAAAUUAACAUUAGCUCCUGAUAAAUGAUCAACCAAAAGGUUUUACCGUAUUUAGUUAUAUAUUCCCACCUUGAUACUUCAGCAAGUUCUUGUUUGUGCAACAUUUGGAGCAAGUUGUAAUCCAACUUGGCAAAUCGAAGUAACACAUCACUCUUUGUUUCCUGUUUCUCGUAGAUUGAUGCGAUGAAGAAUCGAAUCUCAAUUCGAGGAAUACCUUUGUGCAAGGAUUGCUCAAGGGCAUGCGUCACUUGCUCCUUAAGAGGAGAGUUCAAAUGUGGAGCUGCGGACUGAAGAUGAGUAGUGGAGAAAGCAAGUGCAUCUUCUAAGAUGUCUUCACCAUGAAUCCUUACAUGUGAAGCUUCAUACAAACUCAAUAAUCCCAAGACAUCACUAGCAAGAGACUCCUUGAGUUUGCCAUCUCCAUUAAGGAAUUUGGUGAAAAUUUCUAAUUUUCAAGGAAGAAUACACAAUAUUAGCCUCCGUAUCAAAUGGAUGAUAUAUCUAUAUAUAUAAUUACAACGAUAUUGAAUUUAUAGUACUUCAAGAGGUACUUACUUAGGGAGAUUUUGUAACCAUGUUGCCUAAGCAAUCGAAAUUGAAGAGCACAAGUGCAUAGAUCAUCAUUAUUGUCAUUGCUCUCAAAGUUUGAAUUUUCUUUGUAAAUCUGAUUCAAAAUCUCAUUGAUUUCUUUCUCAAAGUGAUAGGCAAUGCCAAGGCGUUCAAUAACAUCAAUCAAAUUCAACGUCUCAGCCAAUUUCCUUCCGGUAGCUAACAAAAUACUCCUUGUUUCUUCCUUCAACACUUCAAUCUCUUGAGCAUACCUUUGUUCAACCUAUAAAUAUAUUCAAAAACCAAAAGAAAUCAAACUACAUUGUCUAAUAAAAGCAAAGAAGGUACUAUGAAGAAAAGAUGACGAAUAUUAAUUAAUUACCUGGUUGUCGAUGGAGAAAGAAAGAAAACGAUCACCCCAUAGACUUGGAGAAAAGUCGGCAACGGGGCGAAUGAUCUCUUCUGCAAUAUGUUUCACAACAUUAUUUCCAACUACAACUGAGGUCAUUGUUGCAACAAAUAAUAAGUGUGUUUUGGGUUUUUCGAAGUAAGAAUGAAAGAAACUCUCAAGUUGAUGAGAUAACUGGUAGACAAUGGACAAGUAUUUAUAAUAGUGAGAGACGCCACCAACUUUGAAAACUGAAAGAGUGGAGUGAUUUUACACCACACUUGGAAUUUGUUUCCUUAAAAAACAGAAUGAGCUUCAAUAUUUUAAUCUUUUCCUAUCAGUUGCCUCACUUGACCUUAUACAGGAACAUAGUCAAAAAGACGGUGUGUUUGCCAUUUAGGGAGUUGAUACAACUUCUUGUUGUUCAAGCUUGGCCAAAGAGUCUGAAGUUGCGACAUUACUGCUUAGGUACAACUCCCUCAUUUAUUUUUAUUUGUCACAUUUCACUUUAUGAAAAAUCAACUUAACUAAACUUCAAAGCUAAACUGAUGUGUAUUAAUUUAAUAUUUAAAAUUUAAAAUUUAGAUGUUCAAUAACUAUAUAAAAAAUGUUAUAAGUUGCAAUCUUUCUCAUAUUAAUAUAUAUGAUAAAAAAAUACAUUUUAAAAUGUUAGUCAAAAUUUUAUGCAGCGCAGUUUAACUAUCAAUUAGCGAAAGGUGACAAGUAAAAAUCAAUGGAAAGAGUAUAUAACAUAUGUUUGAUUUUAUAUAUAAUUGACAAACUUGGAACAACUUUGGAUGUUCACAAGUAGACACUUAAACUUGUAUAAAGUUCAACAGAUAAAAAUACAGUGUCUACUUGUGCAUACCCAAAGUUGGAGGUCAUGGAUGUGAUCUGAGCCCAAGUUAAGGGUAUGUUUAUAUAUUUAUCUCCAAUUUUAAUACCUUCAAGAAAGAUUUUGGAAAAAGAGCACUAUUUUCAUUUGGUUAAUUAUUUUAGUGAAAUUAGCUAUCUCCGAAUUAUUAUCCUACGCGGAACGAGAUAUGAAAAUAAUAAUCAACAUAAGUCAAAAUUGCUUCAACUUAGUAGGACCAAUUGAAUUCCAAGUUGGCAACUUAGACUUCAAGCCGCCGCUGAAUUAUUUUUUUAUAUGCAUAUUUUGACUAGUGAACAAACUAUUAUUAUACUAUUUGAUUUCAUUAUUUCCAUUAUAUAAGAGCACAUACAACAUAACUAUGAAGAAUCACCAAACAUAUUACUAACUCUCCCAAAAUGCAAUUCUUCAGCUUGGCUUCCAUUUUCCUUUUUCUAUUUUCCCUCUUUUUGUUAAGGAAAUGGAAGAACUCAAAUAGCCAAACCAAAAAAUUGCCUCCAGGUCCAUGGAAACUUCCUUUUAUAGGAAGCAUGCAUCACAUGGCUGGUGGACUUCCACACCGCGUUCUUAGAGAUUUAGCCAAAAAAUAUGGACCGCUCAUGCAUCUUCAGCUUGGUGAAGUUUCUGCAGUUGUUGUAACUUCUUCUGAGUUGGCUAAACAAAUACUAAAAACUCAUGACCUCGCAUUUGCAUCUAGGCCUAAACUCUCGGCCAUGGAUAUUAUCUGUUAUGAUAGCCGCGACAUUGUCUUUAGCCCCUACGGUGAGUGUUAGGCGAUUGACCUAAAUUUUCAUGGAUUUUGCUUCUUUUUUUUACUGAAUGACAAAACAUUUUCCAUAACUGGUUUGCUUUCCUAAAAGAUGUAUAAUCUAUACAUAUGUAUAUCUUCCAUAUAACUUGAGGAUUUUUCCUUCUCAAUUUAUGACAUCCACAAUAUAAUUCUUAAAGGAGUCUUGUUUAGGAGGAGAACAUAAACCACAAUUUUUCAUAUAGAUGUAGGUAAUUAAUAUAACAAAAUAGUUAAUGUAACAAACCAUGUUACAUUGUUAUUUAUCUUCUGAUAUAUUUCUCUUCAUCGUCUUGCUUAUGAUCAUCCAAGAAUUGUUCUGUUAGGCUUUGCAUGACACCUGACAAUUUCUAUCUUAACAGGUGAGUAUUGGAGACAAAUGCGUAAAAUUUGUGUCAUGGAACUACUGAGUGCAAAGAAUGUCCGGUCAUUUAGCUCAAUCAGACAUGAGGAAGUUAAUCGUCUCAUUGAAUCUAUCCGAUCAUCUUCAUCUUCUGGUGACCUAAUUAAUUUUACAGAAAGGGUCAUUUGGUUCACAAGCAGCAUGAUAUGUAGAUCAGCAUUUGGGCAAGUCCUAAAAGAGCAAGACGAAUUUAUAAAACUAAUUGGAGAAGUGGUAAGCUUAGCAGGAGGCUUUGAUGUGGCUGACAUCUUCCCUUCAUACAAGUUUCUUCAUUCUCUCAGUCCAGCAAAGCAAACACUUCUAGAUGCUCACCGUAAAGUAGAUGCAAUUGUUGAGGAUGUCAUUAACGAGCACAAGAAGAAUCUCGAAAAUCACAACAGUGAUGAUGCAUUAGGAGGUGAAGACCUAGUUGAUGUCCUACUAAGACUUAUGAAGGAUAGAAAUCUUCAGUUCCCCAUCACCAACGAUAAUAUCAAAGCUAUUAUUGUUGUAAGUAUUGAAUAUUAUGCUUGUUCUCACUUAUUUAACCAUAUAGUACUUCCAUAUCCAUUGCCAUAUAUUCAUAAAAAGAUUAAUUACAAAGAAUUUCUGGUCAGUAAUACAAAUCUAAUUUGAUGUGUAAUUAAGAGAUUUGCAAAAACUUUGUUGUAAAACUCAGUCACUAAAGAAAAGUUAGUUCAGGAAAGACCAUGUGCAACAGUCAUAAUAACUUGGCUAUAAAUUGCAGGACAUGUUUGCUGCGGGAACAGAAACUUCAUCAACAACAACUGUAUGGGCUAUGGUUGAAAUGAUGAAAAAUCCAAGCAUACUCGCCAAAGCACAAGCAGAAGUGCGAGAAGCCUUCAGAGACAAAGCAACAUUCGAUAACAUUGAUGUGGAGGAGCUGAAAUACUUAAAGUUAGUUGUUAAAGAAACUAUGAGAUUUCAUGCACCAGUUCCACUUUUGGUCCCUAGAGAAUGUAGAGAAGAGACUAACAUAAACGGCUACACUAUUCCAGUGAAGACCAAAGUCAUGGUUAACGUUUGGGCACUGGGAAGAGAUCCAAACUAUUGGGAUGAUGUAGAAAGCUUUAAGCCAGAGAGGUUCGAGCAGUGCUCUGUGGACUUUGUUGGUAAUAAUUUUGAAUAUCUCCCCUUUGGCAGCGGGAGGAGGAUGUGUCCCGGGAUGUCAUUUGGUUUAGCUAAUGUUUAUUUGCCGUUGGCUCAAUUGCUUUAUCACUUUGAUUGGAAACUCCCUACUGGAAUGGAGCCAAGAGACUUGGAUGUGACUGAAUCAAGUGGAGCCACUGCCACCAGAAAAAAUGACCUUUAUUUGAUUGCCACUCCUUAUCAACCUUAAUGAAAUCAACUUUUUAAAGUUCCUUUUAUUAUAGUGAGGUGUUUGAAAUAAAAAAGUGCUAUUUCUUUUAAUAUAUUGUAGUCUUCUGAGAUUAUCAAGUGUUAAAUUUCUCACUAGAAUGAUUUUGUAUGACACAUUUCGUGUAUUAUAUUUUCCAUUCUUAAAAAUCUUGGUGUCUUAAUACCCUCUUGUUCUUUUUAUUUAUGCUGAUUAUUGUUUCUGUACAUAUUAUUUUGUAAAGGUGAUAUUAUAGCCAUUACAAAGAAUGGUCCAUUGUCGUUUUAGUGCCCCCAUCUCACAAAAGAAAAUUAUGAGAAAUGGCGUCUAUGUAUGAAAGUCAUUCUUGGCUCUUCUUGGCUCUUAAGAUCUGUGGAAACUUGUAUUCAAAAUAAAAGAUGUCUUGACAAAUACAAGGAAGUAAACUUCUGCGAUAUGGAGGCAUGACCUUGCUAUAGCAAGAAAAAAAGGAUUUACAACAUCUCAACCUGCACAGUGGGCUAGUCCAUUCUGUAUUCAAAAAGUUUGGCUACAUCUGGAAAAUAAGAGUAUAACAAAACUGUGUAACCUAAAGUUGCUCCUCUCCAAUAAACAAAAGUACAAUUAAGACACGAGAGGAAUCAACUACUGAGAAUAACAGGUUAGGAAAAGUGUUGAUAGAGCAUCAGCUGUUUGGUUUCCUUCCCUAUAACAGUGUUGAAAGAGAACUCCUUGACGGUUGGAAUAUGAAUUGAGUCUUUCAUGACUUGGCAUAGAUGCCAUGGUGGUUUGGUUCUCUCCUUAAGCAUAUCAAUAAUCAACAUAGAGUGGCUUUCCACAAUGAUGCUGUGCAUCGAGUUUGCUUGGCACCAUUUGAGAGCAUAAAGUAACCUCUGCCUAGCACAAUAAUUUGAUCCCUGAGGGAUCUGCUUUGGAAAGGCCAUUAUCAAAGAUCCCUAAGAAUUCCUCCUGCUCCAGUUUUUCCAUUGGCUUGUAAAUUUCCGUUAGUAUUAAACUUGAGCCAACCCGGUUGAGAUUUAUGCCACUUAACCAAAACCGUGGUAAUUCUAGGGACAGCACUAUGUAUUUUGUUGCAAUUUUCCAGCCAAGAAUUGCAUAUUGGGAAGCCGUCAGCUAGUUUUACUCAAUGCCCAUCGCAAAUAUGACAUUGAAAAAAUGGACUAAAUGAAUUACCCCCAUAUCGUGACGCUGGCUUGCUUUCCAAAGUUCCCAACAAACAACUAGAAUGAUUUUGAGCAUUUCUCUUAGAAUAUGAAGUUUUUCUAGAUAGUGUUUUGUUUAAUAGUUUCUUUUAAAAUAUUAUGUUCAGCUUUUUAAAUGAAUGACAAUCCUUAUUUUGGGGAAUGUGUCUUUUGAGAAAGUGGUUGGAAGAUAUGGUCCUCUACCAACUUUGUAAGGCUUAUGUAGCACUAUGUUUGUGGUCUUUUUGUAAUAUGUAUAUAUGAAUGAAAAAGCCACUGUUGAUCCUUAUAUUUUUCCUUCUCUUUAGUUUUAAAUUCUAACAGUGUCAAGAGCCAUUCUUUUUGAGGGAUUUGUGAAGGCUUAAAGAUAAGUUUUUUCUUCAGUUCUUCUAAGCUGAGAGAGUUGAGUAGCAGCAACAUGGAAUCCAGCACCUUCUUGGGUUCAGGUCCUCCUAUGUUAACAGGAGAAAAUUAUCACAUAUGGGUGAUAAAGAUGAAUGCUUAUCUCAAAGCUCUUAGUCUAUGGGAAGCAUUUGAAAGAGAAACUGAUACCCCUCCACUUGGACCAAAUCCAACCGUUUACACAAAUAAAGAAUUAUGAAGAUGCAAAGUCCAAGAAACCAAAGGCUCUCACAUGUCUUCAUUCAACACUUUCAGAUGUGAUUUUCACAAGAAUAGUGGCACGUGAAACACCUAACGAAGCAUGGGAGAAGCUAAAAGAGGAGUUCGACUGAAGUGACAGAGUGAAAACUAUCAAACUCUUAACUCUCAAAAGAGAAUUUCAGAUGUUGAGGAUGAAAGAAGGAGAUACUGUGAAAGGGUACUCUGCCAAACUUUUGGAAAUCGUAAACAAGAUAAGAUUAUUUAGUGAAACUUUUCCAAAUUCAAAGGUGGUGGAGAAGAUGAUGAUAAGCUUACCAGCAAGGUUCGAGCCCAAGAUUUCAGCAAUAGAGAAAUCUUGUGAUCUGAUUAGAAUUUGGAGCUAAAGAGAAGGAAAAAAGAUAUGGAGCAAUGGUAGCUUUUUCAUUCAUUCAUGCAUACAUACCAACAUCUUACAAAAGACUACACUUAUAGCUACAUAAGUCUUGCAAGACACAUUUCACAUAUUAUCUUACAAGACACGCUAUCUUACAAGAUACACUUCACAAAAUAAGGACUACCAUUUAUUUUAAAAAAAACAAACAAACAAAAUAUUAAAAGAAACUAUUAAACAAAAGACUAUCUAGAAAAAUCUCAUAGUCUAACACUCCUUCUUGAGAUUUUUCUUGGAUACUCCCAGCUUAGCCCUUAGAACUUCAAAUUUCCACUUAGGAAGAGCCUUGGUCAAAAUGUCUGCAAUCUGCUGAUCGGAGAAUCAAUGAACAAGAUUAACUUCGCCAUCCUUCUCUUUUUGCCUGAUAGCGUGAAACUUCACAUUUAUAUGCUUGCUAAGACCAUGUUGCACUGGAUUUUUGGUCAUAGAAAUUGCUGACUUGUUUUCAACCUUUAUGACAGUAGCUUCAAUUUGAUUUUGCUCUAGAUCACAUAGAUUUUUUUGUAAACAUAGAGCCUGAUUAGUUUCACCAGCAGCAACGAUGUAUUCUGCUUCUCCAGAUGAUUGAGCAACCACAUCUUGCUUCAUUGAAUUCCAUGAGAACAUGCCUGAACCAAGUGUAAAAGAAUAUCCAGAAGUGCUUUUCAUAUCAUCAACACUUCCUUCCCAAUCACUAUCUCAUAACCCAUCAAUUGCCCUUACUUUUCCCUUUUAAACCAAAUACCAUAAUCAAUAGUCCCCUUGAUAUACCUCAAUGUUUGUUUAGCAAUACAAAGAUAAACUUGACUUGGAGAAUGCAUAAACCUCAACAAAAACUAGUCGCGAAUAUGAGAUCAGGUCUUGUUGCUGUCAAAUAUAGUAAACUACCAAUUAGACUCCUAUAAACUGUUGGAUCAGCCCUAUCACUUACUUUAUACUUUGAGAUCUUCUUAUUAUGAACUAGUGGAGUCGAUAUAAGCUUACACCUCUCCAUAUUGAACUUCUUAAGAAUAUCCCAUGCAUAUCUUCUCUGGGAAAUGAGGAUUCCAUCAGUAUCUUGAUGAGUCUCCAUUCCUAGAAAGUAAUUCAUUUUACCCCAUUCUGACAUAUCAAAUUUGGUCUCCAUUUCUUUCUUGAAUUGAUUCACCAUAGCUUCAUUAUUUUUGGUUGCCAGAAGAUCAUCAAUAUAGAGUGAUACCACAAGCACAUCUCCAUAUUUAGCCUUUUUCACAUACAAAGUGGCAUUAUUUUCACUUCUUAUGAAGCCACAGUGAAUGAGAUGAUCAUCGAUCUUAUUGUACCAUGCUCGAGGAGCUUGUUUUAAUCCAUACAAUGCCUUAUGUAAUCUAUAAACUUUAUCCUUCAUUCCUGCAACUUGAAAGCCUUCUAGUUGGUUGACAUAAAUUUAUUCCUGCAAUGGUCCAUUUAAGAAUGCCAACUUCACAUCCAGAUGAUACAACUUCCAAUUUUAUUGAGAUACCAAAGCAAAUAGAAGUCGUAUCACAUCAUGUCUUGCAAUAGGUGCAAAUGUGUCUCCAUAAUACAAACCUACAACUUACGCGUAACCUCUCAUAACAAGCCUUGCUUUGUAUUUAUUAACUGAACCAUCUGGAUUAAGUUUGAUUCUAUAAAACCAUUUCACCCCUAUUAUAUUUCUGUCUUUGGGUUGAUCAAUCAAAUUCCAAGUAUCAUUCUUCUUUAUCAUACCAAUCCCCUCCUUCAUGGCUUUAAUCCAAACUUUAUGUUUUGAUGCUUCUUGAUAGAUAUUGGGUUCCAAGAUUGCAAUAUUGCAUCUUUCAUAUAUCUCAGAAAGGGACCUUGUAUUCAAAAUUGGCGAAUCAAGUGAGGAUUCACCAUCUGAAUCUUCAGCUUCUUCCAGAUUUUCAGAGCUAAAUGAUUGUGUUUUAGGUAGCGGUUGCAAGUUUAGAUAACCUACAUUUUAUUUCUUAACUUGCUCCAUAUCCCAAUUCCAAUAAGCCUGCUCAUCCACUACUUCAUCUCUUCUAAUAGAAGUAUUUUUUAUUUGGAAGUUGAAAACUCUAUAACCCUAGGCUUGCGAUGAAGAACCAAUAAAGAUCCCUAAUUCACCUUUCGAUUCAAAUUUGCUUUUUCUGAAGAAACAUGAGAAUAGCAUAUUAAACCAAAGAUUUUUAGGUGCUUGGCAUAUGGUCUUUUUCUACUCCAUGCCUUAAUAAGAGUUUUAUCACCCACAACUUUAGUUGGCAUCCUAUUCAACAAAUAAACUGAAGUAGAAACAAAUUCUUUCCAAAAACUUUGCGGUAGUUUCUUUUCAAGCAACAAACAUCUAGACAUUUCAACUAUCGUCAUGUUCUUCCUCUCUGAAAUUCUAUUUUUUUCUGGUGAAUAACUUACUGUCAACUUGUGAUCAAUCCUUGCAUCUUCACAAUACUUAUUGAACUCAUUUGAAGUGUAUUCACUUCCAUUGUCUUACCUCAAAGCCUUUAGCUUACAACCACUCCGUCUUUCAACAAAAGCUUUAAACUUCUUGAAAAUUGAUAAUACUUAAGACAUGUUACUUAAAAAAUACACCCAAGUCAUCUUUGUUAAGUCAUCAAUAAACAACACAAAAUAUUUGUUUUGACCCAAGGAUGAUGUCUUCGUAGGUCCACAUACAUCAGUGUGAACAAGUUCAAGUUUUUCAGUUGCCCUCCAAGUAGAACUUUUAGGAAAUGAUUUCCUGUGAACCUUACCUAUCUAAUAUGACCUACAAACUUAUUUAGAUAGUGAGAUCUUAGGUAUAUCCUUAGUCAAACUUUUCUCAUACAUAGAUUUCAAAGUAGCAUAGUUAAAGUGCCCAUAUCUUCUGUUACAUAACCAUGAAUUAUACAAUCUUACAAAAUUAGAACUAUCAAACUUUUCAUCUGCUGGAAAGAUCCUAUCCACCAUUUCUACUUUUUCAAUCAAAAUAUCAUCAGUAUCAAAAAUCAAAUAAUGCUUCCCCUUACAAAGUAAGGAGUAACCUUUAGACAUUAUUUAGCCAACACUCAAUAGGUUACAUGCUAAAAAAGAAACAUACAAUACAUCAUGUAUAAGCUUUGUACCUUGUUUAGUUUGAAAGGUACCCUUUCCAUGUGCUUCUAUUAUUGCACCAUUUCCCAUCCUAACUUUAGCUUUAAGUGACUUGAAAAGUGUGUGAAACAUGAGCUCAUUAUAUGACAUAUGAUUCAUGUACCCACUGUCUAGGAACCAUCUGGAUUGGUAGGCUGUGUUUUCUUCAUGAGUAGCGAUAAACAAGCUUUCUUCCUUUUCUGAAUCUUCAGUGAAGUUUGCCAGCUGGACAUGGUAUUGUUGUGGUUGAUUUUGCUUGGCCCUGCAAUUCUUCUCAAUAUGACCUAUUUUUCUAAAAAAUUUGCACUGAAUUGAUGGAUUUCCUUUGAACCAACAAUGCUUUUCUUGAUGGUUGGUUCUUUUACAGUGGAUGCAAGGUGGAAACUUUCCUUUCUGUCAAGAUUCCAUCCAUGGAUUUCUCUUUGUUGGUUUAUCUCCUUCUAUCCUCCUAUUGUCCUUCACAGGUUGUUUGCCUUUGUGCUUUUCUUGAAAUGCCACUUUUGCUACUUCUUCAUCUCUUAUACUUGUUCUUUGUUCUUGGGCUUGCAACUUGCUAAUUAGCUCUGCAACGGAUAAAUUCUUCAAAUCACAAGAUUCAUCUAUUGAUAAAAUCUUGGACACGAACCUUGCUGGUAGGAUUAUCAUCACCUUCUCCACCACCUUUGAAUUUGGAAAAUUUUCACCAAAUAAUCUUAUCUUGUUUACAAUUUCCAGAAGUUUAGCAAAGUACUCUUUUACAGUAUCUAAUCCUUUCAUCCUUAACAUCUCAAAUUCUCUUUUGAGUGUUAAGGGUUUGACAGUUUUCACUUUGUCACUUCCAUCAAACUCCUCUUUUAGAUUCUCUCAUGCUUUUUUAGGUGUUUGACAAGCCAUUAUUCUUGUGAAAAUCACAUCUGAAAGUGCUGAAUGAAGACAAGUGAGAGCUUUUGGUUUCUUGGACUUUGCAACUUCAUAAUACUUUAUUUGUGCAAUAGUUGGAUUUUGUCCCAGUGGAGAGGGAUCAUUUUCACUUUCAACUACUUUACAUAGACUAAGAGCUUUGAGAUAAGCCUUCAUCUUUAUCACCCAUAUGUGAUAAUUUUCUCCUAUAAAUAUAGGAGGGCCUGCACCCAAGAAGUUGUUGGAUGCCAUUGUUACUGCUAUUUAGCUCUCUCAGCUUAGAUGAACUAAAUAAAAAACUUAUCUUUAAGCCUUCACAGAUCCCUCAAGAAGAGUGACUCUUAAUAUCAUUGUUAGAAUUUGGAGCUAAAGAGAAGGAAAAAAGAUAAGGAGCAGCAGUAGCUUUUUCAUUCAUUCAUACAUACAUACCAACAUCUUACAAAAGACAACACUUAUAGCUAUAUAAGUCUUUCAAGACACACUUCACAUAAUAUAUUACAAGACACACUAUAUUACAAGACACACUUCACAAAAUAAGGACUACCAUUUAUUUUAAAACAAAACUAAACAUAAUAUUUAAGAGAAACUAUUAGACAAAAGACUAUCUAGAAAAAUCUCAUAGUCUAACAGACUUUGUGCUGAUUAGCACAAAGUCAUUGCAAGCCCAAGAAUAAAGAUCAACCAUAAGAGAUGAAGAAGUAGCAUAAGUGGCAUUUUAAGCAAAGAAUAAAGGCAAGCAAAUUGUUAAGGACAAUACGAGGAUGGAAGAAGAUAAUAGCAAAGAGAAAUCCAUGGACGCAAUCUUCUCAGAAAGAAAAGUUUCCACCUUACAUGCACUGUAAAAGAACCAAUCAUCAAGAAAAAGGACUGUUGCUUCUAAGGAAAGCCAUCGAUUCAAUACAAAUCUUUUAGAAAAAUAGGUCUUUACAGGGUAAGCAGAAUCAACCACAACAACACCAUGUUCAUCAGGCAAAUUUUACUGAAGUAUAGGAAAAGAAAGAAAGCUUGUUUAUAGCUAUUCAUAAAUAAAAUGCAACCAACCAAUCCAAAUGGUUCCUUGACAAUGGAUGUAAGAGUCAUAUGUCAUAUGGUGAGCUCAUGUUUAUACACUUCACAAGUCAUUCAGAUCUAAAGUUAGGAUGGGAAAUAGUGCAACAGUAUAAACAAUCAAAAAGGUUCAGUUCCCUUUCAAACUAAACAAGGUACAAAGUUUAUACAUGAUGUGUUAUAUGUUCCUUGUUUAGCAUGUAACCUAUUGAGUGUUGGCCAAAUGAUGUCUAAAAGCUACUUAUUUUUUAAGGGAACACAUUGUUUGGUUUUUUAUUUUGAUGAUACUUUGAUUGAUAAAGUAGAAAUGGUGGAUAGGAUCUUUCUGGUAGACGAAAAGUUUGAUAGUGCCAAUUUUGCAAAUUGGACGAUUCAUGGUUAUGAAACAAAAGAUAUGGGAAUUUUAAUUGUUAGAGUGCAUACCCUACUGAUUUUAAUGUUUUACUCUAUUAGUUUCCUAUCAGUAGAACAAGUAAGCCAACGUGGUUCACUUACGUAGAGUAAAUAUGAAGACAGUAUUUUUACGUGGAAAACACUCGGCUUAAGAAAGGUGUAAAAAUCCAUGACCUGUACCUCUACAAGAUUUAACCCCAACUUCACUAAAACUCUUGAGACUCAAUAAUCAACAAAUUACAAGACUCUUGUAAACUAGGAAUUAAACUUCUGACUCCUAUUUCUACAAUAACACAAAUCUUCCCAAGAUAAGUGUUCCCAAGUCUUCAAGCUAGUAAACUGAUUUAUUGAUUGAAACUUUUUUUUAGUGCAUAAGUGAAACUCUUUUUCACAGUUUCUUCUAUUUAAUCCAACUCCUAAUGGAGUCCUUUAGAUGAUGCAGUCUUCUUUCUUUAAUAGGACUCUCAGUUAGUUUCACUCCAUGUUAUCGUUUAUCUCCUUGCUGGGUAGGACUCCUUUAUUUGAUUAAUCUUCAAGUGUCGUAUUUAUAUUUUCCUCAUUUUUCUACACAUGAUAAGUGUUGACAGUAUAACUAAUUUUUUUUGCUUAUCCACUUCUGACUUCAACCACUUUAGUUUAUCAUGCCCGUAACUAUUAUUUCUUCACUUGUAUGGACCAAUAUGCAUAACUUAUUUCAUUCAUAUAUCCGUCAUCAAAACUUCAGUUCCCUAACAAAUGCCCCUUUUUUGAUGAUGACAAACUAAGCAGCACAACAUCCAUCACAAAAUCCUGACACACUAAAAUAAAGGAAUUUAAAAAAAAAGAACAUAAAAUGAAAUAGGUUAGUCAAUUGAGUUAUAAGCAUUGCACAAUCUAUUCUUCUCCCUUUUGAUAUCAUCAAAAAGCUGGGCCAAAAAGUGAAAUUUUUAAUAAUCCAUGGCCACUGGGGCUAUCACUAAAACAAACAAAAUUCAGAGCAAAAGAACACUUAUGCAUUAAGAAAAAUAGGAACAUAACACAAUGAAGAAAGUGAGUCCAUUUCAUUUAAGAGCAAGAUAAAAAUAAAAUUACCUAAAAAAUAGCCAAAUAGAUAACAAGCUAGCCAGUGAAGAAAACAAAAAGAACAGACUUAAAGGACUAAGGAGGCAACUAAGUAAAGGAAGCAGAGGGAAUAAGGUUAGUAAACUUUUGCACGAUUUCAUUAUUUGUGGCUCUUUAACUCUCAUGAUCAAUGGUGGCUUGAAGAGAAAUAAUCUGAGCUUGAAGUGCCUAUUUUUCAGCAUCAUGAGUUGCUUGAGAAGCUCCAGUUCAGCAUGAGCAACCUCCAAUUUGGCAGUCUUAGCAGCAAGAGCAUUAUGUAACGGUUGCGCAGGGUUAUCAGCACUCCUCGUAGAAACAGGUAACUCCAUAUGGUUCACAAUCCCAAUGACAUCCUUAGUGGUUUGCAGAGACCACACUUUAACAGGCACGUUGAAGUCUUAAAAAAUAAGAGUAAGCCAGAACUUAUAUGGCAGGGCAUGGCUAUUCACAUCUUAAAGUAUGACCCAUUACAUGCGCUGAAUCAUAAGUUGAGGAAGGUCAAUCUGUACUUCAGUGUCAAGUAAUUCAUGAGAGUAAGAUCAAGGAAAUUGCCAUAGUCCUUCGUUCUUUUCGAGGAAGAAGUAUCUUAGACUACAUCAAAGUAAACUGAUAGAGUGGGGACAUCUCUCAAUUAAGAACUCUGUGAUGAGUGACAAGAUGAGGAUUUCUGGAAAAUUUGCGAGAUAUAUCAAGGGAAGAUGCCAGAUUAUCAAGCAGAGGCUAUAUGACUUUGACAUAAUGACCCCAACCCCCUAUAGGAAUGUACAAGAUUCAAGCAAGAUCAAUAGCAAAGAGAUUAAUGGUGAUCCCAUGAACAGCGAUUGAGAAUAUUUCCCCAAUAGCUACCCCAUUAGUAUAGAACUUAUAAAAUUCAUCUUUUCCAAACUUACAUAGGAGAUCACCUUGAAGAACCAAGUGUGACCACCCCUGACCUCCAAUUUAGAUACCAAGACAGCCAUCUUAGGUCCCCAAAACCAGUGAAAACAUGUUCUCUAGCUAACUUGCAUUUUUUAAAGUGAAUAAUAUGAGCCAAAUGAGAGGCACGGUUAGUAGAAGUAUCCUUAUCAAUAUUAAAAUCGAGAUCUAGCUCAGUAGAGAGAGCAAGAAGAGUAUUAGAAUUAGAGGAGUCCAAAGGAAUAGGUUGGGAAACUUGUUUCUAGGAAGAAGUAGAGGAUUUUUAGAAAGAAGAUUUGGAAGAGGAGGAAGAUUUUGAACUAGUGAUAGACUUUGGUGUGCACAGAGGAGGAUUAAAAAUAGAGGGUUUCGGAAUAGUGUGUUUCACCAUCUUGCCUUUACGCAUAGAACAAAGCAGCACAUCUGGAGAAGAGAAAGGAAGAGGAAGGGGAGCAGGUGUAACUAUUCAUUUCCUCUUGCUCUCUUGAAGAGAUUUAGCAAGGUAUACGUCUUCCUGUUGUUUCCUUAGACGAGUAUGAAGAGUUCUAGGAAUGGGUAUAACAAGACAAGGUUCCACAAAAUCAUGGUCCUCAACAACAAUCGUAGAGAAAGAAUGUUUUCUUUUUGAUUGAGAUCUUGACUUUCUUGGAAUUAAGUUAGCAAUAGGAACAUCAUCAGGUCAAUAAUUUGGAGAGAAAUCAGAGCUGGUGGAGUGGGUUUAGGAGAAAAUGAAAGAUUAGAAGAAAGUUUAGCAAAAGGGUUUUUAAAAAUUUUGAAGAAGGCAAAAUUGGAUAGUUUAAUGGGAAUGAUAAUUGGAAUAGAAGAGAUUUUGUUGGCAAUGGGGAGGAGGAUGAUUUUAUUGUGAGGUGAAGUAGUAGAGUCAUGGAGGUUUGAUAAAUCAGAGGAAGAAGAAGAUGUCAUGGUUAAGAGGAAAUGUGAGAUCUUGAUUUUUACUUGGGAGAGUGACUGAAUGAUGAAGUAGAAGAGGGAAACAUAUUUAAGGAAAAGAAAAGUAAGUUGAAGCGAAGGAGGUCUGUAUUUGGUGAAGAAACGUAAUGAUAAAGGUGUGCAGUGGUGAUGGGAAUGCGGUGGCAGCUUUUUGAAAAAGAAGGACUCUUGGGUUUUUUUGGAGGUUUGGGGAGUAACAAAGAACCAUGUAGCAUACCUGUUUCUCUUUAUGCAAUUUUAGGUAAAAUGUAAUCGUACCUCAACUUUGUGAACAAGAUGUACAAAAUUGCUUGAGUGUUCUAGCAUCUCUGCAAAACCAAUACAUGAAUGAGUCAGUUUACUCAAAAAUCUUGGAAUUAGGACACGCAACUAAAUGUGUAAGACUGAAUUAAUCAACAACCACUUAAGAGCACAUUGUCUUUUCUAGUCAAUCAUCGAGGGAGAUUUAUGAAAUUUUAAUCAUCCCCAAGGCUAAUCUAUUCUUUUCAAAAUGUUCUUUGUCUAAUGCCUUAGUGAAUCUAUCAGCAAUUUGAUCUUCAGUAGAAUAAAACAUGAUUUAUAUAAAACCUUUUUCAACAUUAUCUCUAAGAAAGUAAUGUUGAAUAUCAAUAUGUUUAUUUCUUUUAUGUUGGACAUGAUUCUUGGAAAUAUUAAUAGCACUUGUACUAUCAUAAAAAAUGGGAACACAAACUACAUCCACCCCAAAAUCCAUGAGUUGUUGUUUAAUCCACAACAAAUAUGCACAACACUAUCCAAUAUCAACAUACUCAGCCUCAGCAGUAGAUAGAGCUACUGAGUUGUGCUUCUUCAUAGACCAAAUUAAAAAUGAUCCAAGAAAGUGUGCCAUCCUAGUGGUGCUCUUCCUGUCUACUAAAUAGCCUGCAUAGUAAACAUCAGAAUAACCCACCAAGUUAAAAUUUCUACCUUUAGGAUACCAUAGGCCAAGAUCAGUUGUUCCUUUGAGAUAUCGAAAAAUUCUCUUCACAAAUAUCAAAUGAGAUACUUUAGGAUUUUCCUGGAAUCUUGCACACAAUCCCACACUAAAUACAAUGUCAGGUAUGCUUGCUGUGAGAUAAAGUAAGGAUCCUAUCAUUCCUCUAUAUAAUUUUUGCUCCACAUCAGGACCUAUUUCAUCCAUAUAUAGCUUGGUGGCAGUAGCUAUUGGUGUACUGGUCUCUUUAGCUUUCUAUAUGGAAAACCUUUUAAAAAGUUCCUUGAUGUACUUCUGUUGAUGUAUCAUGGAUCCAGAGGUUGUUUGCAAGCCCAAGAAAAAAUUUAGCUCACCCAUCAUACUCAUCUCAAACUCACAACUCAUGAGUUUUGCAAAGUCAUGGGUCAUAUUCAUGUUUGUACAUCUAAAUAUGAUACCAUCUACAUAAACUUGCACCACUAACAAAUCUUUUCCAUUAGUUUUUAAGAAAAAAGUAUUAUCAAUCUUACCUCUAGUAUGGCCAUGCUCUAAAAAAAUUUUUGACAAUCUUUCAUACCAAGCUCUGAGAGCUUAUUUUAGGCCAUACAAGGCCUUGUCAAGCUUAUACACAUGAUUAAGAAACUCCUUACUCUCAAAACUUAGUGGUUGUUUAACAUACACCUUCUCCUUGAGAAUGUCAUUCAAAAAUGCACUCUUAAUAUCCAUUUGGUAGAGAAUGAAUUCUACAUAAGCAACAAAAGCUACAGGAAGCCUAAUUGCUUCAAUUCUAGCUACAUGAGCAAAAGUCUCAUCAAAAUCUAUGCCUUCUUCUUGAUUGUAUCCUUAGACCACCAGUCUUUCCUUAUUCCUUGUAACUGUUCCAUGCCCAUCGACCUUAUUUUUGUACACCUACUUAGUCCCAAUCACUGUUCUACCUUUUGGAAGAGGUACUAAGUGUCAUACUUUGUUUAACUCAAACUGGUUUAACUCCUAUUGUAUGGCUAUGAUCUAGUCAGCAUCAAGAAGUGCCUCAUUCACCUUCUUUGGUUUAAUUUCUGACAAAAAUGCUUUGAAAGCACAUAUGCUCCUUAACCCUGACCUUGUAGUGAUCCAGAAGUGAGAUCAGUGAAUACAUUUUCAAUAGGAUGAGAUCCUUGAUACUUGUAUCCUUUUGGAAACAAUCCUUGUAAAGUACUAGAAUUACUGUGAUUAUUUUGAGUUGGGGUGGUUGGUGGUUCAGUUCCCCCUAUCAGUGUGCCUGCAGCAUCAAUUCCCUCUGUCGAGGUGCCUUUAUGUUUAACACCUUUAGGUGAUGGACUAUGUUGAGCAACCUGUUCCUCAAUAUCACUUUCUUUCUUUUUCUACCCCUGCUUUGAAGUAUCAUUGGUCCACACAGAACCAUAUGGAUCAGGUCCAGGAACUUAGUUGUGCUGAUAUGGUUCUUGGCUUUAAUUAUGGAUAUAUGAAUAAUUAUGGAUAUGAACUUAGGAGAGUGAGUGUUGGACCUGAGCCUUGGCAUAUGUAAUUGAAGUGUAAAAGAGUCCCUUAAUACACCCAAAUCAGCCCAUAAAUUACACUAGAUGGGUGCCCACUCUUUGAAGGGCCUUUUGGUUAUUUUAACUUAUAUUUUAUAAUAUCUAUUAAAGGAACAUUGUAGGUUUUUUAGUUUAGUUUUUGGAUGAUAGUUGGGAGUCUUGUAAUACUUGUAACAAGCUCUCUCUUUAGUGAGAAGAGUGACCAGAAAAACUAGGAUACAACAAUAGGGUGGAUUCUCUUUUGUCGUUGCUUGCUGGGAAACAUUGAUGCUAGAGAGGUGGAAUCCAAUAUUAUGUCACAUAAUAGAUAGGUUUAUUGUUGUGUGUAGUGUUAAGGGUCCAAGAGUUUCCAUUCUUGGGUUGUUAAGAUUAUACCUUCAUGUGGUCUAUCUAUCUAUCAUUUUACCUUCUUGUAAUAUUGUUUAGUGUUUGUGUUGUAAUCUUGUGUUCUUGUUGUUAUUGUUAAAUCCAAAUCUUUUGUCUUCUUGUUCAUCAUCUUAUGUUGUUAAUCUAGUUUGCUGUCCGCUGAUUUAGUGUAAUAAAUACCUUGUUAUCUUCUUGUUAUUGUGUUCUUAGGAAGCCAAGACUUGGUCUCCAAAAGGGUUCACGGAUUUCUUCCAUUUUAUGGACUAUUUUUUGGACUAAUUUUGGUGUUCCCUUGUUUGUUCCGUAUCAUUUGGUAUCAAAUAUAUCUUUGGUUUUGUUCUUACAAUACCAAUCUUGGGCUUUCUUCCUAAGAAAUACAAAAAAAAGGAAAGAAAGACAUGUUCUUGAGCUUGAGAUCUUAGCCGAGAAGUUGAACUUGUUGAUGUUGUAUCUUGGCCGAAUGUUGUGUGUCUAGGUCUAGGAUUUAUUUUGCUUGUGCUGUUGUUUAAAGUGUUUGUAUUCUUGUCCAUUAACACUUUGAGUCGAUCUAGAUUUGAGUUUUAAAAAAAAUUGAUGUUGUUAUUAUGAACAAGACCAUGGUCGUGUGUUGAAGUUGUUGUUCUUGGAUGUGUGGACUUGUUGUUAUAGUCUUGGUUGGACAUUGUUGGUGUUUUUGUUUAUCUCAAUAAAGUUGUUGUUGAGUUCUUUAUAUUCAUCACAACCUUCACCCUUGCUAAAACCGAAAUACAACACCAAAAAGAACCUUGGUCGUGUGUUGACACUAAAAUUGGCCGUGAUGUGUGUUGAUGUUUGCCAUGGGGUGGAAAUUGUUAAUGUGUUCUUGAAGGGUGUUGUGGUGUACAUCUUGUUAUUCAUCUCAUCUUACAACUUAAUACAACCAAAAGUGUAACAUAUAUUCAAAAAGGUGAACCUACAAGUUGUAAAGUUGUUUGUGAGAAGAUUUGAGCCAUCACUUUCUUGACUUUACAUCUACUUUUCAACCACUUUCCUUGUUUCAAGGGACCUUGUUUUGUGGGAAUUGUUCAAAGUCAAGUCUUUCCUUUUGAAUAUUAGACUUAAAGGAGAUUUAAGACAUAUACUUUCCCUCCAACCAAUUGUUUCCAUUACAUAGUAACUAAAGUUUGUAAACUUCAACUAGUGACUAAUGGUGGGGCCGUGACCAAUGGUAUGCUGCUACGUCACCCAUGUUACUGUUCACACAACAAUUUUAAGCUCAAAAUUUGAUAUUCUAGUUUCAUUGUGUUGUUUCUUUAGUUUUGUUUGUUGAUUCCAUUACUAACUUACAAGCUAGUUUUAGAUUGUAAGUUAGUUUUACAACCGUCCUUUGUGUAUACGUUCCUUUGUGUGUCUUAUUCUUUUGAGUUUUUGUAAUACUUGGUCCACCUCUUACAUGAUUUAGAGAUGAUGAGAGGGAGUUUCUUGAUAUAAUUAUGUACUUGUGUUAAAGUGAAAGAAUUGCAUGUGAUUGAGAACUUUGAUGUGACCACCAUGUGUAUUUGAAAUAUUAAAAAAGAGAGUUUCAUGCAUGUGUCUACAUGAGUUUUAAGAAAUAGUUCUUUGAAUUGAUUUAUUAAUAUGGUGGUCGCAAACCUUAUGUUUUGAAAACAGAGAUUAUAAUAUGCUAUUAAUGGCUCAGAGACACGACUUGCAAGUCAAUGGUAUAAUGAUACCAUAAGCAUGUAUGCCAUAACAGAGUAUGUUUUCAGAGAAUGAAUGUUUUAAAGAGUUAAAACUGGGCUUAAAUAGGGUUUGGUGGUUACCCGAAGAAGGCUUGAGUUCAAGUGACUCUUUGCCUAAAACCGUGAUUUUCCGAUUCAGGUAUAUUAUUUUUAUACUUGCGACGACCAUGUGGUGUAGCAUAGUCAAAGAAUCCAACCCUUGUGGAACACUUGGGUUGGGGGCUUCCCCACCGAGCCAAUUGUAGAUUCCAUAUAGCCCAUGGAAUUUUAGAGUUGUAGGGUAUACCACCUAGCACAGAAGUAAAAAAAGAGUGUCACAGAGUUCAGAUAAUUUAUCAGAGUCUUUCAAAAAUGCCCAUGUGAUUUCUUACCAUAUGAAAUGUUUAUGAACUGUUCUAAAUUGCUCUCAUAUAUGUUGAAUAUCAAUUAUUAUUUUGGAUUUGCUCUGUGUACCAGUACAAUUGUAUUAACCCCUUACCUCCUAGGUUUGAAGACUCAGUCUAGGGGUCCGGAUCCGUGUAGUGGUGAGCCUUCUUUGUUCCAGAAGGCCUAUUAUUUUAGAUUAUGUUAUUCCUUUAUUUUUGUCUACUGGGGACCUUGUCCCAGCUUUUCAGAAAGUUGUCUUUAGAUCAUGUAGUAGAGAUUUUGUAGACUUUUCCAGAUGUUGUUUAGUUGAUUUCGGAUUUCAUUAUUAUUAUUAAAUGGAAUCCAGAGUAUGACCAUGUUUCCAUAUCAGAUUAUAUUUCCGCAUCUUCUUUUAUUAUAUGAAUAUUAUGCAUGAUUACCAGAUAGAGUAGGACGCCCGGGCCUUCAUGGUUUGGGAUGUCCGUCAUGGACAGGCCUUAGUUCGGGUCACGACAAACUUGGUAUCAGAGCACGAUUCAUGGUCCCAGGGUGUCUGCGAAAUUGCGUCAGGUAGAGUCUUAUUUAUGGGUGUGUAGCGCGCCACACUUAUAAGUAGGAGGCUACUAGGUGUUUAGGAAUAUUUCCCCUCUUUGUGAUUCAGUUCGUGCCUUAGAGUCUAAUCUGCCCCCUAAUAAUGUGAUCUAUUGUAUUUCAGAAAAGUAGACAUGCCACCUCUUCGCUCUAACAAUCAGAAUACUUAGGAUAAUGAAGUUUGUCCCACCCAUGGGAUGUGGACCCAUAAUAGAGCUCACACCCUAGAGCCUGUUCUUACUCUGGGAGUACCUUCACACCCGACCAAUCCUCCUCGAGCCCCAAGGACAAAUGUUAAGUCUUCUCAGAGGGACAUAUCUAAUGCAGAAUCCAGACAGUCCAUUCAUAUGCUGGUGCAACUGGUGGCCACACAAACUCAGCGGUCGGAAGAUAUUGGGUAUGCAUCUGCUAUAUGUGAGGCUACUAGGGUAGGUCAGUUUAUGAGGAUGAACCCAUCCAAGUUUACUGGUACCAAGGUAGAACAGGAUCCACAGGAGUUUGUGGACGAGAUGGAGAAUAUCUUAUUGGUAAUACAUAUAGAUGAGGUAGAGAGGGUUGAGUUGGCAGCUUACCAUCUUAAGUAUGUAGUGAACCAAUGGUAUAAUGAGUGGGAAGAUUCAAAGAGUAAGCAUGCUGAACCCACAGUUUGGGCUGAGUUCGUGGAAGCCUUUUUUGAUCGAUUGUUUUAUCUUGAGCUGAGGGAGGCCAAAGCAGAGGAGUUUAUGAAUCUAAAGUAGGGAAAUAUGAGUGUCCAGGAGUACACUCUGAGGUUCAACCAACUGGCCCGUUAUGCUCCAGAGAUGACUAGUAACAUAAGAGCCCGAAUGAGGAAAUUUGCAUCCGGCUUUUUAGAUGACUUAGUACUUGAAUGUCAGGGAGCAAUGUUGAAUCGGGACAUGGAUUUUGCCAAAUUAUCAUUCCACAUGCAGCAAGUUGAGGAGAAAAAAAUAAAAUCACGGAAUCUAGGGAGAAAAAUAGACAGGAAAAGAGAGCUAAAACAGCAGACUAGAGCUAUAGUCAGCAGCAGAGUGGGAAUUGGAGUAAUAAAUUGUAGAAGAAGAAGAAUUGGGGUAAUGCGCAGUGUGAAGCCAGUGCUCCAGUGAUUAGAACCCCCAUCUAGAUAGCGCACUCAGGAUUUUCAGUAUAGGCAAGGGCCGAGGAUGCAGGGUUCGCAUUCUCAAGGAAGUGUAGUUCAGACCCCUCAGACAUACCCAUGCUAUUAGAGAUGUGGGAGAAAUCAUCCAGGGAGAUGUUAGUUUGGCGCUAUGGUAUGUUAUUCGUGCGGCCAGCUAGGCCAUAUCUAGAGAGACUGUCUGGAAGCAAAGGGCAAUGUUGGUGGAGCCAAGUCACAGGCUAGUUCUUCUGCACCACCACCACCUCACUUUAAUUGCCAAAAACGGACACAACCAGUUGUAUACCUUGACCUACCUCUAAGAGGUAGAGGCCUCACCGGAUGUAGUUACUGGUACAUUAAAAAUAUUUUCCCAUGAUGUUUAUGUGUUACUUGAUCCCGGCUCUACCCUAUCAUAUGUGACCCCUUAUGUGGCUGUUGGUUUUGGGUUUGAACCCGGUCUGAUUAUUGAGUCUUUUUCUGUUUCCACUCCGGUGAGAGAUUCUGUUAUGGCUAGGAGGGUGUAUAGAAAUUAUGUGGUGACUGUUUGUGGGCGGGAUACUAUGGCAGAUCUCAUAGGACUUGAAAUGAUUGACUUUGAUACUAUCUUAGGGAUGGAUUGGCUCCAUUCGUGCUAUGCCACACUAAAUUGUAUAACCCGAAGAGUCAUUUUUUCUUUCCCGAAUGAACUAGUAGUAGAGUGGGAGGGACAUUCUUUAGCACCUAGAGGGCACUUUAUAUCUUAUUCUUUAGCACCUAGAGGGCACUUUAUAUCUUACCUUAGAUCCCGUAAACUUAUUUCUACGGGCUAUUUGUAUCAUCUUAUUCGGGUUAAAGAUUUAAAUACCGAGAACCCUUCUCUUCAGUCCAUCCUUAUGGUGAAUGAAUUCCCAAAAGUUUUUUAGAUGAUCUCCCAGGAAUACCAUCUGAUAGGGAAAUAGAUUUUGGUAUUGAUUUGCUGCCAGACACCCGUCCCAUCUCUAUUCUGCCAAAUAAAAUGGCUCCUACAAAGCUAAAAGAGUUGAAAGAGCAGCUAAAAGAUCUUCUAGACAAAGGUUUUAUUCGCCUUAGUGUUUCUCCCUAGGAUGCACCUAUACUCUUCGUGCGAAAUAAAUGUAGUUCCCUGCGUAUGUAAAUAGAUUACCGCCAGUUGAAUAAGGUCACUGUUAAAAAUAAAUAUCCUUUUCCUAGAAUUAAUGAUCUUUUUAACCAGCUUCAGGGUGCUAGAUGUUUUUCAAAGAUAGACCUUCAUUCAGGAUACCAUCAGUUGAAAGUUAGAGAGUCUGACAUUUCCAAAACAGCUUUCUGAAUUAGAUACGGUCAUUGUGAGUUCUUAGUCAUGUCCUUUGGGUUGCAAUGCCCCUGCAACCUUCAUGGACCUUAUGAAUAGGGUGUUCUGUCAGUUUCUAGACCUGUUUGUCAUAGUUUUUAUUGAUAACAUCUUGGUGUAUUAUAAGAGUGAGAAGGACCAUGACAAUCAACUCCGAAUUAUUCUUUAGACUCUCUGAGAUCAUAAGUUGUCUGCAAAAUUUUCCAAGUGUGAAUUCUAGCUUAACGCUAUUUGCUUUCUUAUGGCAUGUUGUAUCUAGUGAGGGAUUUAAGGUUGAUCCCCAAAAGGUUGAGGCAGUGAGAAAAUGGCCAGACCUACUACUCCAACUGAUAUUCGGAGCUUCUUGGGUUUGACAGGUAUUACAAGAGAUUUGUAGAAAGCUUUUAUUCCAUAGCUGCAAUACUUACUAAGCUGACUCAGAAGAAGGCGAAGUUUGUGUAGUCUGACUCUUGUGAGAAUAGUUUCAAGAGGUUGAAAGGCAAGUUGACCACUGCUCCUAUUUUGACUCUUCCGAAAGGUACAGAGGGUUUUGUUGUGUACUGUGAUGCAUCCCAAGUAGAACUCGGAUGUGUGCUUAUGCAACAUAGUAGAGUGGUAGCUUAUGCAUCUAGGCAGUUAAAGGUGCACAAGCAAAAUUACCCCACCCAUGACUUGGAGUUAGCAUCUGUGGUGUUCGCACUUAAAAUCUGGAGGCAUUAUCUUUAUGGAGUUCAUGUUGAUAUAUUUACUGACCACAAAAGUUUGCAGCAUGUUUUCUCGCAAAAAGAACUUAAUCUCAGGCAGAGAUGGUGGUUAGAAUUGCUAAAGGAUUAUGACAUGAGCCUGCACUAUCAUCCGGGCAAGGCGAAUAUGGUAGCCGACGCCCUUAGCAGGUUUUUUAUGGGCAACUUUUCUCAUGUUUAAGAAGGGAAAAGAGAGAUAGUAAAAGAUAUUCACCGACUUGUAAAUCUUGGAGUGCGACUCUUAGAUUCUAAAUAUGGAGGGGUGGUUGUUCAUGAUAUAGCUAAAUUAUCCCUUUGUGCAGAGGUUAAGGAAAAACAGGUUAAAGAUUCCAUCUUGAUGUAGAUCAAGAAAGAUAUGGGUCAACGAAAGGUGAUGUCCUUUGAAAUUGGUGGUGAUGGUAUUUUGAGAUAUCAGGGUAGAUUGUGUGUGCUAGAUGUAGAAGGUAUAAGGGAGAGAAUCCUUGAUAAAACUUACACAUCGAGGUAUGUUGUCCACCCAGGCUCUACUAAGAUGUAACAUGACUUAAAAGUUAUAUAUUAGUGGAAUAAUAUGAAGCGUGAUAUGGCUAACUAUGUUGCUAAGUGUUUGAAUUGUCAACAAGUGAGAGUAGAGCAUAUGAGGCCAGGUGAUACUUCCCAAGAGAUAGUUUUGCUCUUGUGGAAAUGGGAGAUGAUCAAUAUGGACUUCAUCACGGGACUUACGAGGUCCCAAAACCAGUAUGACUCUAUUUGGGUGAUUGUUGACAGGCUGACCAAGUCAACUCACUUCCUGCCUGUGAGGAUUAAUUAUUUGGGAGAUGUCUAUGCCAAGAUUUACAUGGAGAUAGUCCGUCUGCAUAGAUCACCUGUGUCCAUCAUAUCUGAUCGAGGUACACAAUUCUCUUUGCAAUUUUGGAGAUCCUUUCAGAGAGGUUUAGGUACUCAAGUGAACCUAAGUAUGGCUUUCCACCCCCAGUCCGAUAGGUAAGCUGAGCAUACUAUUCAAACCCUUGAGUAUAUGUUGCGGGCAUAUGUGAUUGACUUCAAAGGUAGUUGGGUAGAUCACUUUCCCUUGAUAGAGUUUGUGUAUAAUAAUAGUUAUCAUGCCAGUAUUAAGAUGGAUCCUUUUGAGGCAUUGUAUGAGAGGAGAUGUAGGUCUCCAAUAGGGUGGUAUGAAGUAGGUGAGACUUAGGUGUUUGGGACAAAACUUGUUCACCAGGAAAUGAAGGAUGUGAAGAUUAUUAAAUAAUGACUUAAGACAGCCCAGAGUAGACGGAAACCCUAUGCUGAUGUUAGAAGAAGGGAGCUAGCAUUUGGGGUUGGUGAUUGGGUGUUUCUCAAAAUUUCUCCUAUGAAGGGAGUCAUACGUUUUGGAAAUAAAGGGAAGUUGAGUCCUCGCUAUAUAGGACCAUACCAGAUUAUGAGAAGAAUAGGUGACUUUUUGUAUGAGUUAGAGUUGCCUGCAAAUAUGGGUUCUGUUCACCCAGUGUUUCAUGUAUCCAUGUUGAAGAAAUGUAUUGGGGACCACUCUCUAGUAUUACCCAUAGAAGAUAUCAGAGUGUCAGACUCCCUAUCUUAUUAAGAAGAGCCUAUUGUAAUCUUGGAUCAUCAAGUUCGGAAAUUGAGAAGUAAAGAGAUAGUUUCGGUUAAGGUGUUGUGGAGAAAGCAAAAAGUUGAAGAAGCAACUUGGGAAUCAGAAGAGGACAUGAGAGGAAGGUACCCAAAUCUAUUUGAUCCUGUGAAUGAUGAGACGAAAGGUACAAUCCUUGUCUUACUCUUUCCAUGUCCUUAAUAUUCUUGUAAUCAUAUUUGUCUGUGCCUCGCGCCAUCAUUCGGGGACGAAUGAUCCCAAGGGGGGGAUAAUGUAACACCCCAUCAAAUCAUCCAUAUGUUGUCUCAUUUAUUUUUCUUCCUAAGUGAGUAAAGUUUAAAUCAUAUAGAAUUUCCAUAAUUUUGACUCUCUAUCAAGUGGGAAAUUGAAUGAGCUUUCUGUCGAUAUAGGAUUUCCCAAAUCUGAUACCCGCACAAAAAGUUAUGGCUAAAUUUAAGUCCUAGUUGUAAAAUACCAUUAUUUUGGUGCUUGGCGCGUCGUGGAGGGGGUCUAUUUAACAAUUAUCAAAUUCUAAUAGCCUAGCACGAUUGUGGUGCAUUGCGCUGAAGUUCCAGGUCCCAACCAGUGGGACAACGUGAUGGCUCCGCAUCGCGGUAACCCCAAGAAUUUCAUUCGUCAAUUUUCAGUAAGCCACCUCAAAAGUGCCACGUCGCGGUAGCCCAUAAAAUCGGGCUCCCAAUUAUAUUUUUUCCAAUUACGUUAAGGGUUAAAAGGGGGGUAUUAUGAGCAAUUAUCCUACCCCCAAUCCGUCCAUAAGCAUACAAUCAAUGGCAUAAUAAAACACUUUAUGCCCGAAUCUUCCUUCUCUAUAAAGCAAAAACCCUAAGCAUCUCAAAAACCUUUUCCAAGAAUCUCAAGAUUCAACCGUGGAUUUUUAAAAUUGACUGAAUAUUUGGAAUCCCCAAACCGUAGGCUUCAAAAAUCAGUCACUAAGUUCAUAAUUCAAGGUACGUGGGGUUUAUCCUAAGACUACAUGGGCUUGUUGAAACAUUCAUAUGAUUUAAAGUUUAUGAAGCAUGAAUUUAGAAAAGGAUUGUGGAAUUUAUGAUUUUAAUUAUGUUUCAUGAAUGUUUUAAUGAUAUUGUUGUUUUGGCCUUUCAGCCUUUCCCCCUUAAAUCGAUUUAUACGUAUAUGUAUGAAAAUUGAGAUUUUAGAUUUGUUUGAGACCACAAAUUAUGAAAUCCCUCUCUUGUAAUGAAUUUAUGUUUAUAAUCUUAUUGUGAAUGGUUUGAAAUGCAUGAUUUAUGGUUUGAAAAUAGUUUUCUCAAUAUUAUAGUAUUAGAACAUGAUUUAGAGAGGAUGAGAGGGAGUUUCUUGAUAUAAUUAUGUUCUUGUGUUAAAGUGAAAGAAUUGCAUGUGAUUGAGAACUUUGAUAUGACCACCUUGUGUAUUUAAAAUGUUGUAAAAGAGAGUUUUUUGCAUGUGUUUACAUGAGUUUUAAGAAAGAUUUCUUUGAAUUGAUUUAUUGAUAUGGUGGUCCCAAAACUUAUGUUUUGAAAAUAGAGAUUAUAAUAUGCUACUAAUGGCUCAGAGACGCGAGUUGCAAGUUAAUGGUAUGACGAUACCAUAAGCAUGUAUGCCAUAACAAAGUAUGUUUUCAGAGUGUGUUUUCAGAGAAUGCAUGUUUUAAAGAAUUAAAACUGGGCUUAAAUAGGGUUAGGUGGUUAUCCGAAUAAGGCUUGAGUUCAAGUGACUCUUAGCCUAAAACCGCGAUUUGCUGAUCCGGGUAUAUUAUUUUUACACUGGCGACGGCCGUGUGGCAUAGCAGAGUCAGAGACUCCAACCCUUGCGGCACACUUGGGUUGGGGGCUUCCCCGCCGAGUUAAUAGAAGAUUCCAUAUAUCCCGUGGAAUUUCAGAGUUGUAGGGUAUACCACCUAGCGCAGAAGUAAAACAAAAAGUGUCACAGAGUUCAGAUGAUUUAUCAGUUUUUCGAAAAUGCCCAUGUGAUUUCUUACCAUAUGAUAUGUUUAUGAACUAUUCUAAAUUUCUCUCAUAUAUGUUGAAUAUAAAUUAUUAUGUUGGAUUUGCUCUGCGUACUAGUACAAUUGUAUUGACCCCCUACCUUCCAGGUUCGGAGGCUUAGUUUAGUGGUCCGACUAAUCAGUAAAGUAUCAGAUUAUGUUAUUCCUUUGUUUUGUUCUACUGGUGGCCUUGUCUCAACUUUUCAAAAAGUUGUCUUCAGAUUAUAUAGUAGAGAUUUUGCAGACUGUUCCAAAUGUUGUUUAGUUGAUUUUGGAUUUCAUUCUUAUUGUUAAACUAAAUCUAGAGUAUGACCAUGUUUUUGUAUCAGAUUAUAUUUCCACAUCUUCUUUUAUUAUAUGAAUGUUGUGCAUGAUUACCAAAUAGAGUAGGAUGCCCUGGCCUUCAUGGUCCGGGAUAUCCGUCACGGCCAGGCCCUAGUUUGGGUCGCAAUGAUUAGUUUCCUAUUUCUUGGUCUGAGAGAAUUUAUUUGCCAAAUUUAGACUGCUAAAUCUGCUUUUGAAAGCAACAGGACAUUCAGUGGUUGGAUGUCCAAGAUUACCACAGAUAUAAAAUAAGUCUUGAGGAUCGUCAAGACUUCUGUGAAAACCCAGACCUGCUUUUUCACUAUGAUUCCUUUCACUUAACUUAUGAACAAUUCUUGAAUAAUUUGUCCACCUGUUUGCCCUUUCAAGAUCAAGUUUCAGUUUAGAGACUUAUUGACUCAGUUUAUUCACCAUGUUUGUUACAUCAUUACACUCUUGUUUGUACUUGACUAAUUCAAGUUCAACAUUUUCUUGUUCUUUAAUCUAGACCUUUUUUCCCUUUUCAGUGAAUGUCAGUUUUAGGACUUCAGACUUAAGAUCAUUGUUUGAAGAAUCGAGUUGCGAAACCUAUUUCUUGAGUGUGUAGUUUUCUUCUUCAAUAGUGUUCUUGCAAGCUUCUAAAUCAAUAAAGUCAAAUUUGAGACUUGCAAGACUGUUGAACAAUUCAUCCCUAUCAGAAGUUAAUUCUUGGAAAUCAUCAAGCAGUGCACUUAUCAAGAAAACAAGCUUUGUUUUAGAAAAUAAAUGCUACAUUUCUUCAAGUUCAGAUAUACUUACCUCAAAAGCAUCAUCAUCUUCCUCCAAGUCUGAAUCUCCAAUAGACAUGAAUGCUAUUUCAUCAAUUUCAUCAUUAUCCAAAUCAGAUUCCCAAGAAGAUAACAUAGCAUAUUCCUCUCAGAUUCCCAAGCAACUACCAAGCAUACUCCUCUUUCUCCUUCUUUUUGUUUUUUUUUCUUUUAAUUCUCUUUCAGCCCUUUCCUUUAUCCACUCUAUUUCCUAGACAGGACAAUCCUUGAUUUGAUAAUUAGUCUUACCACACUUGUAGCAUCCAUUUGGAUUGUCAUUGGAAUGUUUCUUGCUACUUGUUCCCUUUCUUUUUAAAGAAUUUGUGGAAGUUCUUAGUUAUGAAGGCAACUUAUUUCUUGUCAAGUUUGAUUUCUUCAUCACUGUCUGAAGCCUUCAAAGCCAAGAUUUUUUCAGGGGAUGCUUGUUCUUUAAUUCCAUCAAUUUCUAUUUCAUAAGUCCUCAGAUUCCCUACUAGUUCAUCCAGUGACAUAUGUGUGAGAUCCUGUGCCUCCCUAAUAGCAGUCACUUUAGCAUUCCAUUUCGAUUUAGGCAGUACCCUCAACAUCUUUUCAACUUGUUCCUUAAAAGAGAUGACUUUUCCUAAGAAAUUCAACUCAUUUGUCAAGGCAGUAAGCCUUGUCAUCAUUUCAUGCAAGGAUUCAUUCUCCUUCAUCUUAAAAGCUUCAUAUCAGUAAAAAAGAAGAGAAAUUCUGAAUUUUGUUACUAGAGAAGUACCCUCAUGUGCAUUGACCAGGGCAUCCUAGAUUUGCUUAGCAGUGGUACAGUUUGACACUCUGUUGUACUCAGCCGGUCCAAGUCCAUAGACUAAGAUGUUCUUAUCGUUUGUAUUUUUCUUUAAUGCUACUAAGUCAUCACCAGUAAAUUCACUUCUUACUUUCUUGACUUGUUCACCAUCAACCAGUUUCAUUGGAAUAGUAGGACCAUCAGUGAUCCUAUCCCACAAUUCGUAGUCUUCCCCUUGAAUGAACAUUCCUAGCUUUUUACCAGAUAAAGUAAGAACCAUCAAAGAGUGGAGGUCUAGUAGUUGACUGGCUUUCACUAUGACCAGUAGGAGGUGUGGAAUUCAUCAUGGUGAUAUUUUCUUAGGUACUAACCUUAUUUAAGAAAAUCUACUCUGAUACCACUUGUUAGAGUGUGCACCCUACUGAUUUUAAUGUUUUACUCUAUUAGUUACCUAUCAGUGGAACAAGUAAGCUUAUAUGGUUCACUUAAGCAAAGUAAAUAUGAAGAUAUUAUUUUUACGUGGAAAACACUUGGCUCAAGAGAGGUGUAAAAAACCACGAACUGUACCUCUACAGAAUUUAACCUGAAUUUCUCUAAAACUCUUGAGCCUAAACAAUUAACAAAUUACAAGGCUCUUGUAAACUAGGAAUUAAACUUCUAACUCCUAUUUCUACAAUAACACAAAUCUUUCCAAGAUAAGUGUUCCCAAGUCUUCGAGUUCCCUAACUUGAAGACACAACUCCUACUCAGUUUAUAUUUCACUGAGACUAGAAUUAAGACUCAUUACAACUCAAGUAACCAACCUAUUACACAAAGUUUAUGACUUUCAAAGUAAAGGACCUGGUUCUUCUUAGAGCUAGUGGACUGAUUUGUUGAUUGAAGCUUUUCUUUUUAGUGCAUGAUUGAAACUUUUUUUCACAGUCUCUUCUAUUUAAGCCAACUCCUAAUGGAGUCUUUUAGAUGAUGCAGUCUUCUUUUUCAAUAGGACUUUCAGUUAGUUUCACUCCUUGUUACCAUCUAUCUUCUUGACUGGUAGGACUCCUUUAUUUGCUCAAUCUUCAAGUGUUGUAUUUAUCUUCUCUUUAUCUUUUCCACACAUGAUAAGUGUUGAUAGUAUAACUGAAUUUUCUAGCUUAUCCACUUCUGACUUCAACCACUUUAGUUUAUCAUCAGCCGUGCCCGUAACUUUUCUUUAUUCACUUAUGUAGACCAGUAUGCACAACUUAUUUCAUUUAUAUGUCCAUCAUCAAAACUUUAGCUCCCUAACAUUAACUAUGAUACUUUAAAAUCUAUGUAUGGGAAGUUCUUGACUAAGGACUUGUCUGAGAUCUCACUGUCUAAAGAAGUGUUUGGAUCAUGUCAGAUGGGUAAGGUUCAUAAGAAAGCAUUUCCUAAAAGUGCUACCUGGAGGACAACUGAAAAACUUAACCUUAUUCACACUGAUGUAUGUGGCCUAUGAAGAUAUCAUCCUUGGGCCAAAAUAAAUAUUUUAUGCUGUUUAUUGAUGACUUGGUGUAUUUUUUGAGUAAAGGGUCUCAAGUAUUUUUGGUUUUCAAAAAGUUUAAAGUUUUUAUUGAAAGAUAGAGUGGUUAUAAGCCGAAGGCUUUGAGGUCAGGCAAUGGAGGCAAAUACACAUCAAAUGAGUUCAAUAGGAUACCAAAGUUGUUGAUGGUAAAACUCCUAUUGAGGCAUGGAGUGGAAAAAGACUGUCUGCUAAGAACUUAAAAUUUUUUAGCUUUAAAAUUUUUUAGCUCGAUAUGCUAUUCUCAUGCUCCUUCGGUCAGAAGAAGAAAACUUAAAUUCAAAUGUGAAUUGGGGAUCUUUAUGGUUAUUCAUCACAAGCCAAGGGGUAUAUAGUUUUCGACUUGCAAACAAAAAGUAUUUCCAUCAGAAAAGAUGUAAUAGUAGAUGAGAAUGCUUAUUAGAACUAGGAUAAGAAGAAAGUUGAGAAUGCAAAUAUAGGUUAGCUGAACUUGCAUCCGCUACCUAAAACAUAAUCAUUUGGCUCUAAAAUUUAGUAGAAGUUGAAGAAUCAGAUGGUGCAUCCUCACUUGAUUCACCAACUUUGAAGAUGAGGUCCUUUUUUGAGAUAUAUGAAAGAUGUAAUGUUGCAAUCUUGGAUCCCGAUACCUAUCAAGAAGAAUCAAAACAUGAAGUGUGGAUUGAAGCUAUGAAGGAGGGAUUGGUAUGAUAGAAAAGAAUGACACUUGGAAGUUGUUUGACAAAACCCAAAGACAAAAAUGUAUAGGGGUGAAAUGGGUUUAUAGAACCAAAUUUAAUCCAGAUGGUUCAGUUUAUAAAUACAAAUCAAGGCUUACUGUGAAAGGUUACAUACAAGUUGUAGGUAUGGAUUAUGGAGACACAUUUGCAUCUAUUGUGGGAAAUAAUACGAGAUGACUUAUAUUUGCUUUGGCAGCUCAAUUAAAUUGGAAUUUGUAUCAUCUGGAUGUGAAGUCGACAUUCUCAAAUGGACCGCUGCAAGAGCAUAUUUAUGUCGACCAACUAAAAGGCUUUCAAGUCGUAGGAAUGGAGGAUAAAGUUUACAUAUUACAUAAGGCGAUGUAUAGAUUAAAACAAGCUCCUCGAGCCUGGUACAGUAAGAUUGAUAAUCAUCUCAUUCAUUGUUACUUCAACAGAAGUGAAAAUGAAGCCACUUUAUAUGUGAAGAAGGCUAAAGGUGGAUGUGUUUAUGGUUUCACUCUAUGUUGAUGAUCUUCUGGUAACAGGAAGCAAUAACGCUCUGGUGAAUCAAUUCAAGUAUGAAAUAGAGACCAAGUUUGAGAUGUCAGAUUUGGGUUAAAUAAAUUACUUUUUGGGAAUGUAGAUUCAUCAAGAUACUAAUGGAAUCUUCAUUUCUCAGAGAAAAUAUGCAUGAUAUAUUCUUAAAAGGUUCAAGAUGGAGAGGUGUAAGCCUGUAUCGACCCGGCUAGUUCAAAAUGAAAAGAUCUCAAAGUCAAGGAGGUGAUAGGGAUGAUCCAACAAUUUACAAAAGUCUCAUUGGUAGUUUGCUAUAUUUGAUAACAACAAGACCUGAUAUUAUGUUCUCAGGAAGUCUUUUGUCGAGGUUUAUGCAUUCUCCAAGUCAAGUUUAUCUUUGUAUCACUAAACGAACGUUGAGGUAUAUCAAGGGAACUGUUGAUUAUGGUAUUUGGUUUAAAAGAGAAGAGCAAGGGCAAUUGAUGGGUUAUUUAGAUAAUGACUAGUCAGGAAGCAUUGAUGAAAUGAAAAGCACAUCUAAAUAUGCUUUUACACUUGGUUCAGACAUGUUCUCAUGGAAGUUAAAGAAGCAAGAGUUGAUAGCUCAAUCGUCUGCAGAAGUAGAAUACAUAGCUGCUGGUGU